rnacentral:lncRNA from 1 species
ACUGCCAAGAGCUCAUAUUUUUUGCUCUGUGUGGAGUAGCCUGACCACUGUUAUUCUAAAUGAAGGAUGUUUCCUGGUUUCCUAGAGGAAGAAGGCCUGAGCUGCCUGUGUAGCCCUCUAGGGCAAGUUUUUAGAGCUCCCAGGGCUCCACAUCUGGAGAACCCUAUCAGAAUUUCUGGAAAGAAAAGUAGACUGUGCUGUAAUACUUCUUGAGUAAUGAGCUCAUUUAAAACUUUUGCAGCUCUACCAGAAACUGAAGAGGUAAAUCAACAGCAAAGGUAAGGAAAAACGGUGUCAUUUUCUUCUCUAUUUAUUAGUGCAGCUGCAUCUUGUCUGAAGGCCCAGGCCCACCACGCUGGGGGUCCCAGCCGGGUGCAUUCUGCUGUGCUUCCACCUCCCUCAUGCUUCCCUCUCCCACUUUGGAGAUGUGCUGAAUCAGCAGAGCUUCCUGGAGUCCCCUCCCCAAAGGCAAAAGAGCACACAGGGGCUGCCCCUGCCCAGGCUACAGGCUGGAUGUCCUCUGGGGACAGCUUGGGAAAUCUCUGGGCCAAUUCUGGUCCCUGCCUCCUUUGUGCUCUGUGUCCUGCAUGGCCCUGGCUUCAUACCAUGGUUCAGGGCAGGCCAAUUCAGGACUUAGAGCCCUGGAGCUCCUUCUCCGUGGGCUGGCUCCCCUUGGCCUGGGAUGUCAACUCUUUUCCUUCCCUUGCUCUGCCUCCUUCCCUUCUCCACAGCAUUUUGUUCUUAAUUUUCAAUCCUCUUGGAGAAGAAGUGAGAUUCUCAUCCCUCCGUGUGACUCUUAGCACAGUGCUGACUUUUUUCUUUUUGGCUUCCUGGUUCUGCUGACUGACCUUUGGAAUUUCUUGGCUCCUUGUCAGAAUCCUCAGUUCUUCCCAGCAUCUGUUUAAACACCGCGUUUCCGGUGGCAAUGCCCUUUUUGCUUAUUUAACCUUUUUGUCAUCUGGCUCCAAGUUCCACAGGGGAUUUUACUGCCUUGUCAGGUCAGUAACAGUGCCCUGCAGCUAGAAGAAGUCUUGAGAAUACAUUUCCUUUGUGUGGGAAGUUGCCAAAUUUUUAAAGAUUGGCACUGGGAGAGAAUUUCAAGGCUUUUCUUUACACGUUGAGAAAGGUGUGUCUGAGAGGCUGGCGUUCAGUGCCCUCUUUCACACGGGCCAGCCUGCCUUUUGAGCCUUAUCUCCCACCAAAACUGCGUUCCUUCAGCUUCCACUUCCACUUCACCCAGGACCCUUGCCUCCUGCACUUGGCUUAAGCUGUUACCUGUGCCAGGAUCCCCUUUCCCACCCCCCACCCCCCACCUAGUUCUUUAUGGCACAAUUCCUAACCAUAUUCCUAGUGUUAAUGCCUACUCCAAAAGGCUCCCUCCCCAUCUGACUUAAUCUCUCUUCCAGCCCCUGAAUGCCAUUGUGCCAUUGUGCUAUUCUUUUGUUUUCCUGAUUCUAGGGAGCACAGUUUUUCUUUUUUUCUUUUUCUUUUUUCUUUUUGGUUAUAGCUAUAUUGACAUACAAAUAUAGUAAGCACUACAAUGAGCAAUUCAAUUUUUAGUAUACAACCAUUCCCCAAAUCAAUUCUGAUUUUCAUUGCCCUAAAAAGAAGUUCUGUGCCCUUUAGCUGCUGCCUUCCUUCCAUCUUGCCCAGGUUAAGUAACCACUAAUCUGUUUUCCGUCUCCAUCAAUUUACCUAUUUGGGAUCUAAUAAAAAUGGGACCUGUAGUGGCGGGCAUCUUUCACUAAGCAUGUUUUCAAGAUUCAUCCACGUUGUAGCAUGUAUCGGUAAUAUUUCAUUCAAGAGACUUAUUUUAAAAAUAUUUUGAAAUCUCUGAAAUAAAGAUGCAUCUUCAAAUCAUUGAUAUGCAUAGGAGCAAUUUUUCUUUCUUGGUAAUGCUUAUAACCAUGAUGUGUCUUCUGUUGAUAGAGCAUUCUAUCAACAAUGCUCUAUUUGUGUCUCCAUGUUACCCCUGUCAUAAUCACCUUCCUGGUCAAGCCAUUUGUUUGUGUCUGUCUUAUUUCUACAUUGUAGGCUCCAGAAGGACAGAAGCCAUGUCUUAAUAAUCUUUAUAUUCUUUAAAGGACCUAGCACAGCACUUGGCCCUUAAGAGGUAUUCAGUAGAUUUAAAGAAGGCAUACAUUGGGAUGUAUUCACCAUGAAUAAUGUGACAUAGCAGAAGGAUGCCCAGUCUUCAUGGCCUGUUGCACACCAGAUGAGUGUGCAAGGUGCUCAUGAUUGUUAAGUUUUGGUGAUUGAUACAGUUAAUUAACUAAACAUUUGCUCACCUACUGUGUGCCAAGUCCCAUAUUCUGAGCAGAGAGUGUUAUAAAGAUGAUUCAAAUAUAGUCCCUCUCCCAAGGAAUUCAUAUUUUGGAAAGACACUUAUAUAAAUGGUUAUACAACAAAUACAACAAAGAGAAUGUGUGGGUGUGUUAUAGGGGUUACCAAUGCUGGAAAAGAGAAGUUAUUUAGAGAGUAGCACAUGUAUUUAACACCCAGGUGCCAAGAACACCCGUUUUAUAGUCUGACAGCCUGAGCUCUGCCACUUCUUUGUGAAUUCUAUGUGAUACCGAACUUUCUAUCUUCUUUCUUUCUUUCUUCUUUCUUCUUUCUUCUCCUCCUCCUCCUCCUCCUCCUCCUUCUUCUUCUUCUUCUUCUUCUUUUUUUUGAUACUGGGAUUGAACCCAGAUAGUCACAUCCCAGUCUUUUUAUUUCUUGUUUUGAGACAGGGUCUUGCUAAGUUGCCCAGGCUGGCCUCCAACUUGUGAUCUCCUGAUUCUGCCUCCCGAGUGCCUGGGAUUAUAGGCAUAAGCCACCGAACUUCACUUUCCUGUGCCAAGAUCUUCUUUAACUACAAUGGACAUAACAGAUUAUAUAUCACUAGCAGUAUUAAAUUAUAAAUAAUGGGUUUGUAAAGUAUUUGUUAUAUAUGUGUUUAGAUAAAUGACAGUUAUUCUUGGGACUCUUAGACCAUUAAACCUUCAGGGACUUUAGUAUUUGUUGAUGCUUCCUAAUUUUAUAGAUGUACCUAAUUUUUUUUUCAGUAGUAGGGGUCUGAACCCAGGAUCAUGUACAUGCUGGGUAAGAGCUCUACCACUAAGCUACAUCCCAGUACUUUUAAAAUUUUAUUUUGAUACAGGGUCUUGCUAGAUUGUACAGGCUGACAUUGGACUUGCAAUCCUGCUCUCUCAACUUUCUGAAUAACUAGGAUUACUGGGAUUACAGGCAUGUCACCAUGCCCAGCUCACACAUAAUUUUAUGUAGUAAGACACAGAUCUUAUAGUGGCUUGUCCUUUUGCUGGGUUUUGAAAUGGGUUCAGGUUUCAUGGAAGGGAGAUGAUUGAGGGAUGAGAAGUUUCAAAUGAGAAUCUCCAGCCAGUUAGACAGGCACAUUUGAGGUGAGUUUGAGAGGGUCUGAUCUGUGAGUCCAAACCAGAGAGUCUCCCAAUUACCUCCCCUUGGGCAGCUUCUUCAUCUUAGUAGAACCUUCAUAUAUUUAUAUAUGUAAGCAUCUGCUGUGUAUUUGAACAGCCUUUAGCAAGAAAGUCUCAGCCCAGAUUUGAUUAUACGGUUUAGUUCCUCCCUAGAUGUUAUUUUUCUCUUCUUAGCAAAUCUGUACAUUUCCUGGUCUGCCAGGGGCAAGGUUUCUAAAUUUUUUCCCUCCAAUGUCCUGCAUGAUGGACAAACAAAUUCUACUUGCAAGUGUUGUCUUUUUACUUUGUAAAACUAAUGAGUGUUGUUGAAUGAAUGACUGUAUUUUGAAUGAAUCAAUGAACAAAUAAAUAAUUGCAGGGUUAGCCAUAACAAUUGGCUCUUCAAACAAAUUACAUUUAUUUUCCAAGGAAGAAAUGAGGUAUAAGAUUUAAAUUAAAAGAAUUAUACUAAUUUAUCAACUUUUUUCAGUUUUAUGAAUAACAUUUUAUUUCAAUCACUGUUCAAUCAACAGAGCUACAAUGAUUGGGUUUAUUUAGUGGGCUUUUUUUUUUUCUGAUAGUCACAACAGCAGGAAAAUAAUGUUUUAUUUUUCUGCUUAGUAGACAGACUAAUAAUACAUUUGAAGCUUCCAUGGUUACCAGUCUUUGUCUAAAAAGAAGAUGCUGAACAAGAUGCAUAGAGCUAAGAACUACUUUUGGAAAUGGGGGGCUGUCUUUUUCACUUUUGGGUGGUAAAACAAGGGAUGGGUCUUGAGAGUCAGGACUCUAGUCUUUUCAACCUGGGCCAGAGUAUGGAAAGGCUCAAGUGUACACAUACCAGGAGUGGGAAUCUAUUAACUAGGAGGCAUAAGUAUUGAUUUGGUUAACAGAAAAUGUGAGAGAAACAUCUAAAUUAAUAGAGCCUUUAGGCAAGAUAAAGUUCAUUUCUUUCCUUCAUAAAGAACUCCCGAUGUGCAUGAUUCAGAGCAGGAAGAGCUCUGUAGCCUAAUUUCUUCAAUUCUCUAUGGUCUUCAAGCUUCCAAAAUGGCAGCUGGGACCAUACAGACACAUUUCGGGAGGAGACAUUGAAGAGAAAAAGAAGGAGGCACACACCACUUGCCUUUUAACAAUGUUUCCCAGAAGUUGCACCGCCACACUUCAAUGCCUCAUUGACUAGAAUAUAAUCCUGGAGACAUCAGGCACCAAAGGAGAUUGGAAUAUGAGGUCUUUAUUCUACAUGGUCAUGCCCAGAUAAAACCUACAGUUUUAUUACUGAGGAGAAAGGUGAGAAUAAAUAUAGUGGUAGCAACUAUCUCUGUGCCUUAAUGGUGUAUGAUCCCAAUGUCUGUCCCAGGGUACUUAAGGAUCAGGGAUGCCAGUGUCCCUAGGAAAGUUCUGUUGGAUGAUAGGUCUAUGAAAAAUUUAGCCCUGGGAUUACCAGCUCUUCAUUCCCCCUGCUCAUGAGGCUUUGAAUCAUCCUCUUUAAAAGUCCCCACCACCAGAUCCUAGGGUUUCUUCUCCAUGCAAAUGGGAUGUGUUAUUACUCUACCAUUUUCCUUUGAAAUUAGAUUUGAAACUAGGCUCAGCCUCUUGGUAAAACUAUUAUCUUGGGCAAGUGAUUGACCAUCUCUGUGUCAUUACAUUUUUCAUACCUCUGAAAUGGAAAUGAUCUAUAAUAGUAGUAAAUAAUAAUAACCAGGCCCCAAAGUAGGUGCUUUUAAAAUGUCAAAUUACUUUCCCAACCAAAUGUACUGUGUAACAACCUGUCCCCACCACACUGAUACUUUGUUCAGAUAUUCCAAAGUUAGCUCAUACUCUACUCUUUCUCUAAUUUUGAUAAAGUUAGAUUUUAUUGAGUGCAUACUAUAGGCUAAAUACUCUUCCAAAAAAAUUCUUUUUGCAUGUCAACUCCUUUAAAACUCAUAGUCACACCAUUACUAUCCCCGUUUUCCAGAAAGAGGUUUAAGAAACAUGCUGGAGGGCUUAUAAGCAGGAAAGGGUAGAGCUAGGAUAUGAAUCCAGGUAGUCUGGCUCCGGAGCUUGUGAGCUUAACCACAAGUGAUAAAUGACAAAGCCUCCCUAUGGAGACUUUUACCUGUUUAAGAUCUUAAUUGAAGCUUUGUAAAUUUAGGAUGAUUUAAACCUUAUGAGAGCCCAGAGUCCCUCCUAUUCUCCCUGUCCUUUUUCAUCUUAGCUUUUAGUCUCAUACAAGAUUCUUUUUACUGGGGUUAAUGAUCAUGUAUUCAACAAAUAUUUGUGUCAAGACCUAAUCCUGGUGUAAGAGUUCACAAUUUGGUUGGGAAGGCAGGAUGUUAAAACGAGUUAUGCCAAACUGGGCACAGUAGCCCAGCAGCUGUAAUCCCAGCAGCUUGGGAGGCUGAGGCAGGAGGAUCAUGAGUUCAAAGUUAGCCUCAACAAGAGUGAGGUCCUAAGCAACUCAGUAAAACCCUGUUUCUAAAUAAAGAACAAAAUAGGGCUGGGGAUGUGUCUCAGUGGUCAAGUGCCCCUGAGUUAAAUCUCUGAUACCUCCCCGCCCCACUUCCCCCCAAAAAACCCUUCAUAGAAGGAUGAAUGGAUAAACAAAAUGUGUAUAUACAUACAAUAGAAUGUUAGCCUUAAAAAAGAAAUGAAAUUCUGAUAUGGGCUACAACAAAGAUGCAUCUUGGAGACAUUAUGCUAACUGAAAUAAUCCAAACCCCAAAGGACAAACACUACACGAUUCUCUCAGUGAGGUACCUAGAGCAGUCAGAUGCACAGAGAAAGAAAGUAGAGGGUGUUUCCCAGGAGAUGAGUGGAGUGAAGAAUAGGAGGGUAUUGUUUUUGGGUGCAGAAUUUCAGUUUGGGAAGGUGAAAACAUUCUGGAGAUGGAUAGUGGUGAUGGUUGCACAAUGUAAGUAUACCUAAAGCCACGAAGGACUUAUAUUUGUUUUUUUAAGAGUCAGGAUCUCACUAUAUUGCCCAGGCUGGUCCCAAACUCCUGGACUUAAGUGAUUCUCCUGCCUCACUCCAUCUGCUGAGUAGCUGGGACUCCAGGUGUACACCACCAUGCCUGGCUUUAUAAGUAAAUAGACUAAUGUGGCACAUUUUAUAUUUAUUUUGACACACACACACACACACAUGAUGCAGCAAGGUAAGAGCCUAGGAGGCUGUGGAGUGGAGCACAUGAGCACGGUAGCCUCACCUGCGCCGUGGCCCCUUGGGUCUCUGAUGCAAUCUCCAUCAACCUCCUCAUCGCCAGUUUCUUGGGCAGCCCUCAGCAUCCCCUUCUCCCUCAGGACCCUCAGUGCUGGGCUUGUGAGCUUUCAGGAGUGGGAGAAGACUGGUGGAGUGGCCUGCUGCUGAUGAUCAGAAAGCCUGGAGUCGCUGUACAAGUAAUGGAGGCCUGGGAUGGGCAGGGAGCUGGAAAUGUGGGCCUCAGCAGUGGGGUGUGGGGCUUUUAUGGCUAUUACUUAGCAAUCUGGGUGAGCAAAGAUGAUGUCCUGGACAAGAAGAGAUGGAGAAAACUGGUGGGACUUGAGAAAGGUUUAGGUUACAGAUGUGAUAGAUCUUAGUGACUCGUGGGAACAUCACUAUGUUCAACCCCAGGGCUGCAAACGCCUCCAGCACACUGUUUACUGAUCCCAAAGAAAGAACUGGGGGGUCUCAAGGGGGAGGUUUGGGACAUUUUAUAACUCAUGCACUCCUCAGCAGUAGCGGGUACUAUGGAGGACCACACUGCUUCUAAAAGCAGGGGAAUAUACAGGUUAGGUUGCAUGCUCAUCGUGUGUGGAUCUCCUCAAUGUUUUAUGAAUACAUUCUUUUACUUUACAGGGUCAUUCUGUUUUGCUUCUCACCUAAAGACUGGAUAUAAGGGAAAUGGCCAUCUCCCCCUCUCCACCUCCUUCCUUACCAUUUUCUGUGGAGUCCUCCCUAUCUCACUGUAAGCUUCCCUAGGCACGGAUUAGUGUUUAUUCUAACAAGUAGCAUGAGGAAAAGGAGCACCUAAGGAGCCCCCCCCCAGGUUGCUGGUUGGGUGACUGGUUAUAUGGGAUGAGAGUGGAAGGUAGGAGGAUGGAGGUGUUGGUUAGAGGAGAUAAUGAGCGCUUUCUCUAUUUGGGGGCAUGUUGCAUUUAAGGUGCUUGCAAUAUAACUAAGAAGCCAGCAGCCCUAAAAGAAAUAUCCAUUUUUGUGUUUAUUUAAAGAAGAAUCCGAAGGAUUCACUAGGAAAAUCGAUUGAGAUUUAAAAAUAAUAAUAAAAACGUUGCUCAGAAGCUUCCAAGGAGAAUAUAAGACCAGAUGUGGGACUUGCAUAAUUCUGGCAUCUUCCUGUGCGAGUCUGAUUUAUGUUUAUUUUCAGAAAAAUAACCCACACUCAGUUUGCUUCUCUCAGUUCUUACUUGCAGAAUCACUGGGAUCCAAAACCAGUUAUGUGGUCUUCUUGAUUGGAAUCCAAGCCAUCAUUUCCAGUCCUUGAAAAAAAGAAUCAAACUCGUUAGCUGUGGAGGAUUAUAAAACACAACCCCCUCAUUAUAUUGGGAACCGUUUCUUUGUUUUUAAGCUUGAACUGCCUUCAAAAGGAUUGUGACUGGGGAGAUAUUCCCAUUGCUUAUUUGCUUUUUAAAUUUAAGUUCACCUCCCAUUUCAAAUCUAUUAUCCCUACAGCUGCAAUUUUCGGACAUUGCUUUGGGGAUACUGGAUUGACCUUUUCAGCCUGGUCCCUGCCUCUCACGGCCCUCUAAGGCUUGAGAAUGCAUCCACAUAACUCAUUAGGCACAUACCUGAGGCUUACCUCCUGCUGCCUGCCUAAACUUGGGACAGUCUCUCUUCACAGCCUCCUUUCCCUUCUUUCUGUGAGAGGCAGAAAACAUUGAAGAGUUAGGACCUUGCUUAGGUAGGACCGUCCCAUUGCUUAUCAGCUUGUGUGAUAACAAAAAUCCAGAAACAAUCAGGUGCGCACUUCAGUGCACUGUACUGUAUGCUAAGUACUUUUACAUUCAUUACCUUAUUCCACCUGGGCCUUUAUCUUUGAAAUGUGUGAAUAAACAUCUAUUCAUCUUUCCUGCUUCACAUCCCCGUAAUGAUCCUGACUGAUGAAAGAGAGGAGAGCCCCUGGGAAACUCUCUGAUUCACAAAGAUGGACAGCAUUAAACUAAUAGCUUGCAUUUCUGAAAAUCUUUGAAAACGACUACUUUCUGUUUUUCUUUUCUCGAAAGGUACCUGCUAGCUUCUAUUUCCAAUGUUCUUCAUGUGAAUAUUAAUUGUUGUUAAGCUACCAUUUAACAGAUACUUAGCGUAGAUGAUUGAUUGCAUUAAGAGUUUCUUUAGUACUCAGCCUUGAGAAACAGGUACAGCAAAAUGCUCAUUUUACAACAGAGAUUACAGCUUCAGAGAGAUUAAAAUAGGCAACCUUAAUCCAUGCAGGGAAUAAGGGGCAGAAACAGGGUUGUCAAUGGGUUUGAAGUGAAUGUGGAGCCCCUGCCCACUGCUGUUGGGACUGAUUUUCAAUGCAAUCUCUCUCUUCCCUCUUCCCCCUCUCUCUCCUCUAUUCCUUUUCUAAGAGUAUUUGCCCCCAGGCUUUCAGAGUAUCUAUUUUGGAAACCACAAAGUAAAUAAAAGAGAUCUGUUGGAUGCUGUCCACUUUCAUCAGUGUGGGAAAGAGAGGCUGGGAACAGGGAGGUGAGGGGUUAACUUGUCAAAGGACUCCUUCGUCCAUUACACCCCAGACAAGAGGCAGCGAUUGCAGACUCUCCAGGAAAAGGGAUGCUCCCUCUCCACUCUUCAGCAUUCUGUUCCCUGGCCUGGAUUUCUCUUUUUGGACAGGGACAUUUUCCACCUGAAGUCUUGCCUGGCUUGGGGGUUGGCCAGAGGAGGAGGGAGAGGGGAACAGACAAAUAAAGGGGAAAGAGAAGAGGAGGAAGGCUCAGGAAAGAAAAGCAGCUGGAAGUCAUCUUCUGGGGACAGGCCAAGAAGGAGGCCCAGGCCCUGGGAAAUCUGCCUGCCUCCUGUUACACAAUCAAGCUGCCUCCCAGCUUGAUUCUCAGUCUGUGUCCAGGAUUGAGACCAUGUGUGGAAGCUCUCAACAGCAGGCGCUGCAGACAGCCCAACCCAGAGGAGAACCCCACUGGGAGAGGAGACCUGCUUUUAUGCUGCGAGGAGCCAGCUGCCAGCUCAGAAAUGUCCUUCCAAGUGUCAAUGUUGCAAAUCAGAAACAAAAAUCUGGGUAUGCAUGACUCUGGCCAAGGAGGACCCUGUGCCCAGCAAAUAUGUGGAUUUUUAGUACUAGAAGGAUAACAAGAUACUGGGCUUGAUAGAAGAAUUUUAGAACUUGGUACUUCUGCAGAAUUCUGGUCUCCAGAGGAGUUCAGCAGAGGGUAAGAGCCCUGGUGUAGGGAGAGGAAUCAGGAAAUGAGUUUGAUGGAAUGAAUGUGGGAUAGAAUGAGAAUCAUCUGUGGAGGGUCUUCAAGUCAUUCCAGGCUCAUUUUAAAUUUAGAGAAAAUUAAGUCAUUCUAUAAUUAUUCUUGGACUCUGCAUUAGGUCAGGAGGAGCAACUAUUUUUGGAAAAUAGAUUAUAUCAUAUCAUUUCCCUGCUUCAAAUCAUCAGAAGCUUCUGCUAGAAUAAGUCACAAACUCCCUACUGCAGCCUGCAGACCUUCCUGGCAGGCUCCUGCCUACAUUUCCCAUCUCACUUCCCUCCCAGUAGGCUCCGGUCAUGCUGGUCUUUAGGCCCCGCAAGCUCCAAACUCAGGCUCCCCUUUGCUUAGAAAAGUGAUGUUCAGGGUGAAUGAAUGAAGAAAAUGUGGUGCGUAUACAUGAUGGAAUACAAUUCACCCAUAAAAAGAAUGAAAUCCUGUUAUUUGCAACAACACGGAUGAACCUAGGAGGAAUCCUAUUAAGUGCAGUAAGUCAGACACAAAAGACAAGGGCCAUUUGACUUCACUCAUUUGUGGAAUCUAAAAAAUUCUGAUUGCAUAGAAAUACAGACUAGAACAGUGAUUACCAGACACUGGGGAAGGUAGCAGAGGAAGGUAUAUAGGAAGAGAAAUUGGUGAACAGGUUCAAAGUUAUAGUCAGACAGGAAAGAUAAGCUCUGGUGUUCUAUAGCACAGUAGGGCAAGUGUAGUUAACAAUAUUGUGGUGUGUAUUUCAGAAUAGCUAGAAGAGAGGAUUCUGGAUGUUCUCACCAAAAAGAAAUGAUAAAUAUUUGAGGUGAUAGAUAUGCUAAAUACCAUGACUUGAUCAUUACACAAUGCUUACAUGUAAAAAUAAAAAUUAAAAAAAACACUGUGCCUUAUAAAUAUGUACAAUUAUUAUGUGUGAAUUAAAAACAAUAAUGGCAAAAAGAUCUGAAGAUAUAGCUCAGUGGUCGAAUGCAUGUUGGUGUGCAUAAGGCCCAGGUCUCAUGCCUAGCACUGCAAAUAAAACAAAACAAAAACAAAAUAAAAUUUGGGAAAAAAUUGUGUUCCUGGCCUUAGCUUAUGAUAGUGCUUUUCAAACUCUGGGUUCUGACUCAUUAGCAGGGGGUGGAUUAACUGAGUGGGUCAUUGUUGUAUUUUGGAUCUUCAAUGUUCCCCAAAGGCCCAUGUGUUAAAGGCUGGGUCACCAGCCCAUGGUGCUAUUGGGAGGUAGUGGUGAGGCCCAGUGGAAGGAAGGAAGGUCAGUGGGGGUUAUUGGGACCCUGACCCCUUCUCUCUGCUUUCUGGCCACUAUGAAGUGGACAGCUUUUUCCACCACUUUUUUAGUCAGAUUUUUCACUGCUGUGAUUAAAAGGACCCAACCAGAACAAUUGUAGAGGACGAAAGGUUUAUUGGUGGACUUACGGUUUCAAAGGUCUUAGUCCAUAGAAGGCUGGCCCCAUUCCUUGGGGUUUGAGUGAGACAGAACAUCAUAAAAGAUGAGUGUGGCAGAGGGAAGCAGCUCACAUGAUGGUCAGGAAGCAGAAAGAGAGACUCCACUUGUCAGAUACAAAUAUAUACCCCAAAGCCGUGCCCCAAUUCCCACCUCCUCCAGCCACACCCCACCACUUCAGUUAUCACUCGGGUAAUCCCUAUCAGGGGAUCAAUGCACUGAUUGGGUUAAGACUCUCACAACCCAGUCAUUUCUCCUCUGAACUCUCUUGCAUUGUCUCACAUGUGGACUUUUGGGGGACAACUCACACCCAAACCAUAACAACCACAUUUUCCCACCAUGAUGUGCUGCCCUACCACAAGGCCCCAAAGCAACAGGGAAAUGAACUACCAACUAGAACUUCUAAAUCUGCAAGUCAGAAUAUUUUUAUUUUUUAUUUUGAGACAGGGUACCCAGCUGGCCUCUAACUUGUGAUCCUCCUGCCUCAGCCUCCCAAGUCACUAGGAUUACAGGCAGGCCCCACUGUAUCUGGUUUCAAUCCUCUUAAGUCAAAUUAUACCAGCCAUUCUGAUAUGAUUUCACAACGAUGAGUCACAAUGAUGAAAAGCCAACUAACACACCCCAACCCCCCCCACCCCAGUAAUGGGAUUGAACCCAGGGCCUCAUGCUUGAUAGGCAAGCUCUCUACCACUGAGCUACAUCUCCAGCCCAUAAUUUUUUUUAAAAAAUGAAUUUAAAUAUGAUAGAGACUAUUAGAAUGAAACAUAUAAUAAGGAUAGACACUGGGUUUUAUUUUUUAAUAUUUUCUUUUACAGUAGAAUGCAUUUUGACAUAUUGUACACAAAUGGAGCACAACUCCUCAUUCCUCUGGCUGUACAUGUGCAGAGCCACUCCAGUAGCGUAAUUAUACAUGUAUAUUAUACAGUAUAUACAUGUAUAAUGUCUGAAUCAUUCUACAUCUUUCUUAUCCCCACAACCCCACCCCUCCCCUCACUCCCCUCUAUACAAACCAAAGUUCGUUCUAUCCUCCCCCUCCCCCGCCCCCCACUAUGAAUCAGCAUCCCCUUAUCAGAGAAAAAAACAUUCAGCUUUUGGUUUGGGGGAUUGGCUUAUUUCACUUAGUAUGAUAUGUCACGACACACGAUUAAACUGGUCAGGGUCACUACAAGUGAAUUUGGGGACUAAAUAAAGACACAGACACAGAAAGUAUCUUUUCUUUGGGUUCAGUGACCGCUCCUCAGCCGCAGCUCUCCCAAAGGGAGCAAGGCAGGCAAGAAAGAAAGCGAGGAGCACGUGCUGAACUUUUAUUGGGGAGAAAGCCAUUCAAAUGAGGCAAGGGGUCAGGUUGGAGGGGCUUGAGUCUAGCUUCAUGAUGUCUUGCUGUCAGCAGGCUGACUGACAUCUAGGGAGGCCAUGCCCAUCCCAUGUGCUUUUGGGGAUCAUAGGCAGAGUGAGUAAAAAGGACACAUAUAUCACCAGCCCAGAGAGGCAAUGUCAGUCCAGUCCACUUUGUGUGCUCAAUGCUCAUAGUUCACACACACAGCCCAUGGCUGGCUCACCACAUACAUAGCUCCUGUCCAGAGCGGCUCCCAACAAAGAUAUUCUCUAGUUCCAUCCAUUUGCCUGCAAAUUAUGCAUUGUUUUAUGAAACAGGUAUGUGUGUGUAUUCUAGAUGAUGUAAAAUAAAUUUUUACUAAUGGAUUUUAGUCCAUAAAGUUUGACAGUCACUGGAUUAGGAGCUGGUGAUGAAUAAUAAAGGCUCCCCCACCCCAGCCCCAAUGAGGGGCUACUUUUUAAUUAAAAAGAAGUGUUGAAAUCUCUUUGUAGAGGCACCGUGAUGCGUGUUUGAUAGAAGUGAAUUGUACCCUGGCCAAAGAUCUUUAACCAACUUAAACAAAUUUAUGACAUAUAAUGUUAGGGUUCGGGUAUAAGGUGUCCCCCAAAAGCUCCUCUACUACUGCAGGAAUCUUCAGAGGUAAAAUGAUUAGAUGAGGACAGGUGUAAUAACCAGUCCAUCCUGGUUUUAGCGGACUAACUGGGUCGUGACUGUGGGCAGAUGGGGCAUGGCUGGAGGAGGUGGGUUACUGGGGGCUUUCCCUGAAAGGUGCAUCUUCCCUGUGGCCCCUCCCCCCUUCUUGCUCUGCUUCUUGCCUGCCACCAGCUGAGUAGCUCUUCUCUGCCCCACACCCUUCCACCAUGAUGCUCUGCCUCACCUUGGGCCCAGGGUGAUGGAUCUGGUCUACUGUGAACCAAACUUCUGAAACCUUGGGCCCCAAAUAAACUUGUCUUCUUUAAGUUGUUUUUGUCAGGUAUUUUGGUCACAGAAUUGAAAACCUGACUAACACAUACAACAUAACAGAAGGAAAGGAGUAUGGCAGUUUGCAAAAUGAUCACAGAUUCUUCCCUUUCCUGCUCUUUCUCUUCCAGCAUGACUCUUCUGCUCCUGCUGUCUUGAGAUGGACUCUAUUUCUCCAUCUCUGGAUUCUGGGCUGGCCUUGUGACUUGCUUUGACUGAUGAAAUAGGGAGCAAAUGUGAUGCAAACAGAGACUUGAAAAGUGCUUGCACAUUGAGGGUCACCCACUCUUGCUAUUCUUGGGAACCCUAACUACCACCUUGCUUAUAGGUCUGAGCAAGUCUGCAGGAUAAUGAGGGACAAGUGACCCUGAUGCCCCAUUGCCCCAGCUGACAGCCAGUCCAAGGUGUGAGUGAGACCAUCCUCAACCCACAGCCCUCAGCUGAUCUGCCAGCUCAUUGCAAUGAAUGAGCAAGCCUCACUGUGACCAUCCAGGCCUGGGGAGAUCAGAAAACCAUCCAUUGGCUGGGCAUGGUGGCGCACGCCUGUAAUCCCAGCAGCUCAGGAGGCUGAGGCAGGAGGAUCACGAGUUCAAAGGCAGCCUCAACAACGGGGAGGACAAAGCAACUCAGUGAGACCCUGUCUCUAGUUAAAAUAGGGCUGGGGAUGUGGUUCAGUGGUCGAGUGCCCCUGAGUUCAAUUCCUAGCACCAAAAGAAAGAAAGAAAGAAAGACAGAGAGAGAGAGAGAGAGAGAGAGAGAGAGAGAGAGAGAGAGAGAGAGAGAAGGAAGGAAAGGAAGGAAGGAAGGAAGGAAGGAAGGAUGGAAGGAAGGAAGAAAACCAUCUAUUGACCCACAAUAUAUUGCAGUUCUAAGCCACCAAGUUUUGGGGUGGAUAGUCAUUGCAGCGAAAUUUAAUGGAUAGGGCUGGGGUUGUGGCUCAGCAGUAGAACACUCAUUUAGCACAUGCAAGGCCCUGGGUUCAAUCCUCAGCACCACAUAAAAAUAAAUAAAUAAAUAAGGGUAUUGUGUUCAACUACUUCUAAAAAAUAAGUGUUUUUUUUUUUUUUUUAAAAGCUAAUGGAUACAAGAAGAGAAUGGGAAUGGAAAUGGAACUUAAAAGAACUACACAAAAAUUGAAGUAAAAAUGAAAUGGAAGGUCGUUGGUAAUCUUCCUUCCCCUUCCCCCUAGGUCUACAGUGAGGCUGCACCCCUGGUCCUCUAGGGCAGCAGGUCUAUUCCUGCGACUCAGGAUGACAUUGCAGAGCUCAGCUCAGUACCUUACUUGAAGAUCUUUACUACAUAUUUGUUGAAUAGAUCUAUGCCUUGGGGAUUAUCUCUGCCCUGUGAAUUAUGAAAUAAGGCUUGGUAAAUGGUUACCAGCUUAUAGUCCCCACGUUAUGUGCUUUUGUGGUAUUAAUAGAAGAAUGGGAUCCAUGAUUGAAGGUUCGAUAGCAAAGGCUACUAUUUAGCUAACCCAGAUCCUUGCCCAGACUUGCAUUCUCUUGCUGUAUCUUCCGACAAAGCCCCCAAAAGCUAAAUAUUCCAUUUUCCAGGCUCCCUUGCACCUAACAAUGGCCAUAUGACUCAGAUUAGGGAGAUAUGCAUGAAAAUCUGCUGGGAUGUUGCUGGAAAAAGUUUUGCUUUUCUAAUAUGCGCAGCUCUAGUUGGCGUGGCCUACUCUGCUCCUUUUCUCUCUACUUUGAAUGCAGAAAUGAUGCUUACAGCUGUUUGGAUCAUCAGCAGUCAUAUUUUGAUGAUGAGAGAAAGUCUCAAGAAAAUCACAGAGACCUUAGCUUUGAUAACUGGGGGUUCUGCAGACUGUUUGUGUCACAUUUGCUGAUAUCCCAAAUGGCUGAAUCCAUCAGAGUUGACAAAGGGAAGGACUCUACCAGGGCAUAGACACCAGGACCAUUAAUUACAGCAAUCUCCCUCCCUUCCUCAAGACACUAUUUCUUUCCACGUGUUAAAAAUUGUAGUAUACUCAUUUUAUUAAAACAAGACACUUGACUAUCUGCCAAAAAUAUUAUUUUAAUACGCAAAUCUAUGAUGUUUAAAAUGUGAAUGGCACCCUCUUAGAUGUGACAUGGUAAUGCAGUGCACAAUCUACACAACCAUACCUAGUGUUCCUAGUAAGUCUUAUCAACCCACUUCAUGUGUUGAGAAUUAAGUUCAAGUUUUAUGGGUUUUUGGUACUUUUCAUCUAAUACUUUGUCUGAAAUUUUAUAAAAUAUAUCUUCCACCACUUUUUCCAAAUUCCAUUGAAUUUGAUGUAAGGUAACUAAACUUAGACAUCUUAUAUUACAUUGCAUAAGCUGCCCAAAGUCACACAAAUAGUAUAAGGCACAGUGGAGACUGAAACUUAGGUCUGUUUGUCUCUGAAGCACAUGUUGGAUGUCCUCUGACCAGUACUACAGAAAGAUCUCUGAACUUCCCACAUAAAAAUCACCUAAAGAAUUCAUUAAAUGCAGAUUCCUGGGCCUUGCCCCAGAUUUACUGACCCAAAAAGUAAAGCUUCAAUUUCUCUUUCUCCUUCUUCUUCUUCAUUGUACUGGGAACAGAACCUGGGGGUUUUCUAUCACAGGGCUAUAUUCCCAUCCCUUUUUAUUUUUUAUUUGUACAAAUUUCUGAUGUAUAAUGUUAUGGUUUGGAAUGAGGUGUCCCCCAAAACUCCUGUGCUAAUGCAAGAAUAUUCAGAGAUAAAAUGAUUAGAUUAUGACAGUUGUACCCAGUCCAUCUUGGUUUUAGUGGACUAACAGGGUGGUAACUGUAGGCUGAUGGGGUAUGGCUGGAGGAGGUGGGUUACUGGGGGCAUGCCCUGAAAGGGUGCAUCUUUCCUCUGGCCCCUUUAUUUUGAGACAGGGUCUCACCAAGUAUCUCUAAUUUGCAAUCCUCCUGAGUUGCUGGGAUUAUAAGCAUACACUUCUGCACCUAGUUUCAACUUCUUAAUAUGGUAUCUUCGUCUGUUGUGCUGCUAUAACAAAAAUACCUUAGACCGUGUAAUUUUUAAACAACAGACAUUUACUAGUCACAGUUCUGGAGUCUGGGAAGGGGCCAGCAGAUUUGCUGUCUAAUUUUUUUUGUCUCAUAGAUGGCAUCUUGUUGUUAGAUCCUCAGCUGGUGGAAGACACCAACACGUUCCCUUCAGCCUCUUUGAUAUGGACACUAAUCCCAUUUCCACAGGCCCUGUCUCCUAAUACUGUCACAUUGGGGAUUGCAUUUCAACAUAUGAAUUUGGGAAGUGUAACCCAUUCAGACCAGAGCACAUGGUUUACAAGUUGGUCCUCCCAGCCGCCCCCAUCCUGCCACCCCUGACCCCAAAUACACACACUACAGAAACAGAGUGCACAGCAGACUUCACCUAUGCUGGAUCUGAGCUCAUUCCUUUGUGGAGUAACUCCCCCUCCUCCAGUCCAUUGAAGUUCUUUUUUUUUUUUUUUAUUCUUCUAGGUUCAGCUCAAAGCCAGCUUCUCUGAGAAGCCUGUCCUAUUGACACUUCUCAGACUGGAUGCUGCUGUUAGCAGUUGCCAGUAAGUCCGUUAUUAUUUUUUUCACAUCUCACUUGCUGUGGCUUUCGUGGGGUCCUUAAUAAGUCUUAACAAGUGCUACUCAAGGAAGCCCACUGAGUUAAAACAAUUUUUUUAAUGUAAAAAAAUCAUCCAAUGAUAAACAGCAUUUUUAUCUUAGAUUCUACUAAACCAACCUUACACACUCACAAAACAAGACAAAACUUUAAAAAAAAAAAACAGGAAAUAGGAAGGAGUAAAAAGACUGUUUUCUCAACUUACAAAGGGAAAUUCAGAACAUUUUAUUCUAAUGCUGCUUUUCAGAGUAAAUAUAGAUUCAAGAAUAGUCUAUUUCUAUUUUAUUUUUAUCAUGGAAAAUUCAAACAUACACAAAAGUAGAGAGAGUAGCACAAUGACUCCUUGAGUCUUUAACACCCAGCUUCCACAGUCUCUAUUUUUCCAUAUGAUGCUAAUUCCAAAACACUUUUAUUAAUUCAAAAACAGAGAGCUAAAAAGCAAUUCAUUUAAAAAAAAAAAAAAACCCCUUGUGUGUGAUGUUGGAAAACCAAUUACCAUUUUAAAAGGAUAGCAUUAACAACCAGCCUCUUGACAUCAGCAGCCACCUGAAGGCAGGAACAUAGUGUUAGAGAAACUCAGUGGAAUCUCCCACUGCCCAAGCAUGGUGGAGAUCCGCAGCAGGGGCAUUGAAUAUUCUGCCAGUAGCUGGUUGAGAGCAAGGUAAGAAGAGCGAUAUGCAGGUUCUUAGAGUGGAAAUGGAGAGCAGAGGUUUCGAUUGGGGCCCCACAUUCACCAGGAGCCUCAUUUCUAGGCUUUUUUUUUGGGGGGGGGUGGCGAACUCAGGGGCACUCGACCACUGAGCCACAUCUCCAGCCCUAUUUUGUAUUUUAUUUAGAGACAGGGUCUCACUGAGUUGCCUUGUGCCUUGCUUUUUGCUGAGGCUGGCUUUGAAUUCACAAUCCUCCUGCCUCAGCCUCCCAAGCUGCUGGGAUUAUAGGCAUGUGCCAUCACACCUGGCUCAUUUCUAGGCUUUAGUUGACAUUUCUAGUAAACAGUCCCAUUAUUUUGUUUCAUGUGUGUUAAGGAACAGUUUAAUAUAAACAUUUAAAUAUUCUACAACUUAUGUGACUUUAGGGGCCUUUUUCAAUUCUUAAAAAAGUAUUCCAGGAAUCUCAGCCUCCAAAAGAUCCAGGCACAGGUCAGGCUCCACACAAAGCUGCUCUCCCCAGGUGCAUCCCAGAUUUUCUUCACCAGUGGCUCCUGUCUGAAGCUCAUGGGAACACUGCCAAGGUUGCACUUGGGUUCAAGAAUAGCAAAAAUAGACAAAAGAUGGAGAAGCCAUUGGUAAGAUAGUUAGAGAAGCAGCCCGGGAAGCAAGAAGGAAAAAAAAAUAAGAGAAAUGGGGUGGACACAUUGAGACUGGCCAUGUGAGAAAGGGGAAACACACAUUCUCUGGGGGCUUACAGAAACAGCCAAAUGCUUUUUUUCUUUUUCUUUUCUUUUUUUUUAAAGGAAGGAAACCAAGGCACAAAACACCAGGAUAUGGGUUGUUCCAUUUUUAAAAACAUGGAAAGCAAAUCCCAGGUCCUUGCUUAGCAUCUGGACGGCCAUCUUAAGUGACAGCCGACAUUUUAACAAAAAUUUCACUUUCCCACCCAAGAGCGCAUCACCGCUCCUUCAUACCAACCCCACACUUAAUGCCCCAUUAGGACCCGCUUGGCUCUAAUCCCUGAGCCUGCCCCAUAAAAGUCCUGAACCCCAAGCCUGUUUUGCCUCUGUCCAUUGAUGGAGAGAGGGCCUUUAUUUGUCAACUCUGACAAAUAAACUCUCGUGUGUAUCUCUGCCUGGUCUCUGUCUUCUAUUUCUUGCUUGCCAUCUCCUGGUUCCUCACUUUCCUUUUCUCCUGUCACCAGGAUACCUUCUCUGGAGACUUAAAACGUUUACCACUGGACCCAUGACCUAGGAAGAGCCUAGAUUGCUGUUUCUUAAAGGAAAAGUCUUGCCAUCUCCCCUCACCCCUUACCCAGGCCUCCUCAGACAGUGAGACCCUGAGAAAGGGCUUCUGCUCUGCUUCUCCACGGGGAGAGAACAAUUAGAAGAAUUCAGGGUUUCCUGCUAGGCUUGUGCUGACCCACCAAGGGAGAGAGAGCAGCCCCUUGGCACGUCCAGGAGGAAGAUUGCUGACGAAGUUCCUUCUUCCUUCCAAGAAGCACAAGGGACUACAGAGUUGGUGGUGUCCCUGAGAAAGGGUGGCCUUUGUGAAAAGUGCGGGUUCAGCAGGAUGCUUGGAAUGACUGCUCCCGACUGCCUACCCUUUCUGAGAUCCCCUCUGGGCGGGAGGAAAAGAAAUACACAGGCGCCUGAGGACAUCCUUCCCCACGCAGGCGAGCCUGUGGCCAGGGACUGUUGGAUAGAGAAAAAGAACUAGGGUCUGGGAAGACAGCCAGUGGAGAAGCCACCAAACAGCUUAUCCAUGCAGACAGGUUGCACGACAGGCAAAUAUUAUUUGCCCAAGAAGUGGCUCACACUGCUGAAGGUGAGGAGCUCAACAAUGUGCAGUCAACACGAUUUCCUCUUUGCCUGAUCCAUCCCAGAGGGUGUGCAGAAGACAGCGUGAAGAUGAACUAAAAGAGAGAUAGGCCACGCCUUUUUUCUUAACCAGUAGCAAGUGUGGAGAGCACGAAGAGUGAUAAUAUCUCAGAAAUGAAGGAAUCUAAAAUUCAAAUGAAUUUUGUCACAGAUAUAUGUAUGAAUCGCCUUUUGAAAUGAUCUCUGACUUGCACCACCUAAUUAAUCUGAUUGAUUUUAAGUUGCUUAGGGCUGUAAUAUAUAAAUGUUUGCCUCCCUCCCCUAUAUUGGGUGGAAACAGAAUGGUGGCCUUUUGUAGUCAAGUUUAUGUAACAAGCUGAAUCCUUUUGAUGUUUAUGCAUGAAAGGAAGCCACAUGGAAAUAUGGAUGAGGCAUGGGAUUCCAAGAUUUUAAUACAUACCAAACACAGGAAAAAUGAGACUCCAGUGGUUUGGGAUGAAAGAUGUUCUUUGCCAACUGCCUCUUAAAGCAUUUUGGUUCCAAAUCAGAGAGGAAAGAAGGGAGGCAGGAGGAGAAGCAGGAGGCAAGAAGGGACAGAGGGAGGGAGGUGAGGAACCGUCUUCAGGGGACAUUUAGUAAUGCAUUCCUUCUCCCUUAGAACGCCAUUUCUGUCUUUGUUUACUUUAGAGCCUCUUUCAACAUUCCUCAGCUUACAGACAGGCAAUGAGGCAUCCAGACGGUGGGGUAUCUGAACUGGGAACCAUCAUGAACCUCAUUCUCAAUUACACUUCUCUUUAGAUCUCACUCCUCUGGAACAGGCUUAGUUUCUCUCCUCGCCUGCUCCCUCCAGGUCUCCUCUCAGGCCACUUCCUCUCCCAUCCUGUGCCUUUGUAGGCUCUGGGCCAAACUCUGCGGUGAGAGGAGCAGAGGGCCCUGUGGUUCUGGCUUCAUGUACCUCAAGGGCCUUACUCAGGGCCUUCAGGCCUUACCUCCAGAGGAACUUAUACACACAGCCCUUAUGUUAGUUCAUGCAGGUCACUUUACAGAGGUCUUUACUUGAUUUAUUAGACCUUUGAAACAUACAAUAAAAGUUUUCUAGCUGUUGUGGCAUAGCUUCAUCAUAGAAAUAUGUCCAAGGUGGGCGUGGUGGCACACACCUGUGAUCCCACUGGCUUGGGAGGCUGAGGCAGGAGAAUCACAAGUUCAAGGCCAGCCUUAGAAACUUAGUGAGGACCUUAAGCCACUUAGUGAGACCCUGUCUCAAAAUAAGAUGUUUCUUAAAAAGGGGCUGGGGAUGUGGCUCAAUGUGGCCUCUGAUUUCAAUUCCCAGUACCAUAAAUAAAUACAUAAAUAAAUAAAUUAAAUAUAAUAAUAAAUAAAUAGAAAGGGCUGGGAUGUGCCUUCGUGGUUUAGCACCCCUGGGUUCAAAUAUAUAUAUAUAUAUAAUCUUCAACAAGCAUGAGAGAGAGAGAGAGAGCACAAGCUUCAUAAGGAAGUGGCCCAAUCCUCUAUCACCUUCUGAGAAGGUUGAAGAGCCCUUGUUUGGUAUGGGGUGUCUUCCUCCAUGAAUUGAAGGGAAGUUCUUUUUUUUAAUAUUUAUUUUUCAGUUAUAGGUGGACACAAUAUAUUUUAUUUUUUAUAUGGUACUGCUGAGGAUCGAACCCAGAACCUCAUGCAUGUUAGGUGAGUGCUCUACCUCUAAGCCACAUCCCCAGCUCCAGAAGGGAAGUUCUUCUGAAGUGGUCUCCUUCAGAAGCAGCUAAGAACAAGAUGGCAGAAUCUGUCUUGCAGGGGCACGCUUGGUCUCCAGAAGGAACACUUCUUUUCUGUUUCAGAUUGAUCUCCACAGUGGUCAGUGUUAUUUGGGGUGCCCCACAAGGGUGGCCAUGCUCACCAGGGCUCCUUUUCUGUGCCUCUCAGUCCCAGAGACUCUCCAUCCUUCCAGUAACUGGGUGCCUGGAGGCGCUGAGUUCCUAAUUCUUUCUCCCCUCAGAGAAGAGCCUGCAGCAGAUGCUUCUUGUGAAAGCAUGUAAUUGAAAAUGACUUUCCCCUUUGAGCUACUGUAAACGGCCUGGGGGAAGCUCGGCAGGGCUGUUGGGGGGCAGGGGAAGACUGUGGCCUGGGAUUUCAGGGAACAGCUGUGAGGGGAGAAAGUGGAGACAAGUUAAAGAGGAAAGCAAGGCUGAGACUUUGUGGCUUGCUUUUUCAUCUUUGGAUUCCUGAGUCAGGUGCGAGGCAGAAGCAAAGGGAAGGAGUCAAGGCCAGGGCAGUUGCUUGAUGGCAGCCUGUGGGAGGGGACUUAAGGGGAGACUGAGGCACCACUGAGAAGGAGUCUGACUGCUGUGACUAGGUCCCAGGCCAGAAUAUCCCUUAACUUGUUGGUGCCCCCAACACAGUCUUCUCUCCUGCCGUGAAUGAAGACAGUCAGAGGGCCUGGCAGGACAUGCCCAGUACCAGGCACGAGCAUGGGAGUGAGCAGCAGGAACCCCAAGGUAAGCAACACAGAGCACUGCUCUGUGCCCAGGGGCUGAGGGCCUAGAAACAGAUACUUUGUGAAGAGUUACAAAACAGAGUGCAGACUGCUAAUUCAGACUUAUCUAAACAGUUCUGAGGGCCAUAGAGUACAGAGGAGUUUGCUAGUGUUGUUACAAAUUAUUUAUUUAAUGUUUAUUAUUUUUUGGAAAGGGGUGAGCACGCAGAAGAGGGCCAGGGCAAACAGCAUGUUUUAUGCUAGAAUAAGUCUUGGCCAAUGUAACUGAAUGCUUACCAUAUAUGUACACAUGCUCCUUGGCUUAGGAUGGUCUUACAUCCUGAUAAAACCAUUGUUAGGUUGAAAAUAUUAACAUCAAAAUGCUUUUAGUAGCUGGAUGUAGUGGUACACACCUGUAGUCCUAGCUACUUGGGAGGUUGAGGCAGGAAGAUGGCUUGAGAACCUAAGAGUUCAGCAUCAGCCUGGGUAACAUAGAAACUCUGAGAGAGAGAUGGGGGAGGGAGGGAGGAAGGAAGGAAGGAAGGAAGGGAGUGAGUGUGUUUCGGGAACAUCAUAGCUUAGCAAGCCACAUGCUGUGGAGUACCUGUUGUUUACCCUCGUGGUUGUGGGGCUACAUGGGAGUUGCCAAUGGCACCUGAGAGUACUGUACUUCAUAUUGCUAGCUCCAGAAGAGGCCAAGUUCAAAGUAGAAGUCCUGCUGAAUAUGCAUUGCUUUCGUAUCAUCCUAAAGUCAAAAAAUUGCAAGUCAGGGACCAUCUGUACUUAGAAGUAAGCAUAUGAGAUACUAGCCCCGUUUCACAGAUCAUCAAACUACGACCUGGGAUGAUGGUGCGUCUGGGUUUGAAAUGAACGUAGGCUGUCUGGCUAUAAGCCUAUGUGUGUUUUCAUCAUGGUGUUGUAAAUAGAUGAGUUAUUUUGAAUGAGGCAGAGAUGGACUUAUGGGGGGAGCACCUGAAGCCUUCAGAAUUUAGGGAGCAUUUGACUCAGGAGUUGCAGAAUGAUUAGGGCCCCCAGGAGGGUCCUUGGGGAUAUGGGGAGAUCUUUGCUCUAAUUUUCACAUUUAUGCUUCUCUGGAAGUUGAGAGUAGGGCAUCCUCAAAGCCCCACUCAUGUUUCAUAUUUACUACGUUUACCAGGUGUUGGCCCUAAUGCCUAUCACUCAGGUCUGCAACAGGUGUCUCUAGACCUAUUAGGUGUGAUAUCUUGAACAGAAUCAUAUUCAGUGUGGGAACAAAGAGGUGGGGCCACAUACCAGAUGGGCAAAAGCUGCGUGUAUUUUGACUGUGGAGUUCUGCAUGGCCCCAGCCAGAUCUUUGAAAUCUCUGAUACUUGGCUGCUUUCUUCCUUUGUCUAGACUUGUACUUAGUGGAAAUGAGUUAUGGUUAUUUUCUAAGAUGCAAAUGGUUAAUAAUACUUACAUCUUCAACAAGCAUCAAGUGAGCCUACUCCUAAGACUCUAUUCUCAAAUGGAAAAGAGGAGGGAGGAGUAUCAGUUUUUAAAAAGGGAAUAAACAAUCUUUGACCUUAAUGAACAUUUAGUCAUUAGAAGAGAUAAAGCACAUAUUCAAAUAACUGGGUUCUAAAUCUGGGAUAAUGUUUUGAGAUUGGAAGUUAGAUCUCCCUCCAUGUUCUUUUCCUUCCUCCAUCCAAGGCAAGGGAUGUGGCUAAGUGGGUAAACUGGAGGGAGACUCUAACAUUUUUGGCUUUUAUGUCUUAAAGUCCAAACUCAUAGGAAAAGGAAAUUUUCUCAGACAAUCCUCCUUGAAGAGCAGAGGAGAACAGUGGUGCUUUUUAACUCCCAGGUUAGAAAGUUUCUGGAAACAGAGGAGCUUCUCUUGACCUACUGGUUUGUGUGAACAAGUAAGAGUGCUCAGAUUAGAAAUGGCUGUGUGUGGUUUAGGGCGGGGAGGGUGGGCACAGAGUUUACUGGCCAAACCAGGACACAGUUGGCAGUGAAUGGGACACUAUUGAUAAGUACACUGUGAUAACAAGCAUGAAUCAGAGCUGUCCCAGGCGAGCAGGGGUAUAGAGGAGAGGGGAGCCAAGGCGACCUCAAGGAUUUAAGGGCCCUAAGCAGAGCACAGAAGUACGGAGCCUGGGGCUUGAAGGGGCCAUGCAAACUUAGUGAUGAUAAUGUCCCAGUUUACAGUAACCUGGAUGAAAAUUAAUGGAUAACCCCUGGUGUUCUCCCCUCCCCCCAAGCCACAGUGCUGCCUAAACCCCUGGAGGGUUGGUGCUGGGGAAGGGGUGAGGGCCUGGGAACAAUCCAAUUUAGGUGAAUACAUGGAAAGAAAAAAAGGAGGAAAAACUAGAUCUAAAUACACUAUUAGCCUCAAGAGAAGAGGGAUCGUCUUCAUUUUGUUCAACAACUUCUAGCAGAGGCCAGUAACUAUUUACUGAAUGAAAGAAUGAGUUAAAUCUCCGCCCAGCAAAGAAUGAUAGUGGUAAUAACAGAAACAGAGACAGAAAGGGAAAUGGGUUGAGGAAGGAAGAUGGUUAUGGUUUUGCAAAUACUAGUUUUGACGUGGCAGCAGUUUCUUUCCCAGAAAUUCCUGUGAAUCAGCUGGGGAUGUGUGAACAGGGCUUUGAGACUUCAGUUGAACCAGGCGCAGUAGUGUACACCUGUAAUACUAGUUAUUCCAGAAGCUGAGGUGGGAGGAUUGCCAAGUUUGAGGCCAACUUAGCAAGACCCUGUCUCAAAACAAAUUUUUUAAAAAGGGCUGGGGUUGUAGCUUAGUAGAACACUUGCUUAGCCCAUGUGGGAAUCCUGGGUUCAAUCCCUGCUCCUGCAAAAAUAAAUCAAAGCAACGAGAAGGGGGCCAGGGUGGUGGCUCAGUGGUAGAGCACUUGCCUAGUAGGCAUGAGGCACUGGGUUUGAUCCCUGGCACCACAUAAAAAAAAAUAAAAUAAAGGUAUCAUGUCCAUCUACAACUAAAUAAACAUAUAUAUAUAUAUAUAUAUAUAUAUAUAUAUAUAUAUAUAUAUAUAUAUAAUUAAAUAUAUAUUAAAAAAAAACAAGAAGGAAGUCAGUGCUCAAUUUUGGAGCCAGAUGCAUUAUUAGCAGUGAAUGCCUUGUAAUGACAGAGAAUAGAAUAACACUGAGCAUUGGAUGAGUUCAGGAGAAGAUGCUAAAGGAGACAGUAGGAAUUAUCAAGCUAUCUGAAUUUCAGCCAGGGUCAAAGUUGAAUGAAGUUAAAGGAAUUUAACUCACAGAAAAAUGUGUGAUGGGAGGGAAGGGAUUACCUCAGUCAGCAAGUAACAGCCACUGAGAUUGGACGGGUGUUAACUGUUUGAAUAUGUUUUCUUCCUUCAUUUAGUUGAAGCCCUUUAUCCUCAGAGAUUAUUUUCCCUCAAUAGUUUAUUUUGAAAAAUUUGCACAAAAAUAAAAGAAUUUUGCAGUAAAAACAUGUCCAUUACCUAUAUUCUACCAUUAACAUUUUAUUGUUCUUGCUCAUAAUCAAAAUAUCCAUUUAUCUAUCCUUCUACCAUCCAUCAAUCCCUUCUAAUUUUUGAUCCAUUUCAAAAUUGCAGAGACUCCCUAAAUUCCUCAGGAUGUCUGUCAUCUUUCUGUUGAUGUGAAAUUUAAACACAAUAAAAUUCACAAAUCUUAAGAGUAUAUUCACUGCUUCUCCCAAAUAUUUUGUUAUUAAAAUUUAACAAACACACACACACACACACACACACGACAUUGAGAGAAUUUUACAAUGAUCCUCUCUCUAUGUGCCACUUAGAUUUUACUCUUAACAUUUUAUUACUCUUACUUUCUCAUGAUAUCCAUUCAUCAUUCAUUUAUUAGUUCACCUAAAUUUUUAGGCAUUUCAAAUGCUUUAUUUCUCCCCAAUACUUCAGGAUACAUAUCAUUAAUGAGAUAUUUGUUUAUAGUUUUCUUUUUGAUGGAAUAUGUGCAUGUGGUGAAAUACACAAAUGUUACAUUCACUGAAUUUUUUUUUUUUUGAUAUGUGUGUGUGUUUUAUAUUUGGUGCUGGGAAUUGAACCCAGGGCCUCGAGCAUGAUAGACAAGUGCUCUACUACUGAGCUACAUCCCCAGCCGUUCACUAAAUUUUAAUAAACACACAAACCCAUGCAACUCAAACCUCUAUCAAGACAGAGAACAUCAGUGUCCCCCUGACAGGAUCACUCCCCACAUUGUGCUCCUUCCCUCUCCAUCGCUGCCCCAACCCAUCCAGAGACAAUUAGUUUUAUUUUUUCCACCAUAGAUUUGAUUUGUAAAUGGAAGCAUACAACAUGUAUGCUCUUUUGUGGAUGGCUCCUUUCACUCAACACAACAAUUUUGAGGUCCAUUUACAUUGUUUAUAUCAGUAGUUCGUAUCUUUUAUUACUGAGUGAUAUUCCAUUAUAGGAAUAUGCGAAGUUUUUUUUUUCCAUUUUGAUGGAUCCCUGGGCUGUUUCCAUUUUAGGAGUAUAAUGAGUAAAGUGCUCCAAAUGUCCUUAUGAAGUUUUUUUGUGGACGUAUGUUUUCAUGUUUUAUGGGUAUGUAACUUCCUGGGUUAUAAGGGUAGGUAUAUGUUUAGUUAUAUUAAAAACUGCCUGUCAACAUAAUAUUGGCGUUCUCGUUUCUCCACAUCCUUACCAACAUUAAGAAUUGUCCAUCUUUUUAAUUUUAGCCCUUCUGGUAGGAGUGAAGUAAUGACUCAUUGUGUUCUAAUUUGCAUUUCUUGGAUGAUUAAUCAUGGUGAGCACUUUUCCAUGCGAUGACUGGCUAUUUGUAUAUCUUUUGUGACAUUUUUGCUCAAAUCUUUUGCCAUUUGAAAAGUUGUUUGUUUGUCUUUAUUGUUAUGUUGUAGAAGUUCUUGUUAUUUGUCAAAAAUAUAAUUUGUGAAUAUUUUCUCACAAUCUGUGGCUUGCCUAUUCAUUAUCUUAAUGAUACCUUGUGAUGAGCAGAAGUUUUUAAUUUUGAUGAAAUUUAGUAUAUGUUCAUUGCUUUCUGUGACUGGUUUUAUAAAACUUUGUCACAAAUAUAUCCUCUCAAGUUUUCCACUAAAGCCAUAUGAUUAUAACUUUUAUAUCUAGAUCUAUGACUCAUUUAAAAUUACUUUCGUGAAUGAUGUUAAAAAGGGCCAGAUUUACUUUUUUCCACAUGAACAUCCAGUUACUACAAAAUUAUUUGUUGAAAAGGCCUUUCUCCCCAUUUAAUUAUUUGGUCUCCUUUUUGAAAAAUAAACGGACCUUAUAAGUGCUGGUAUAUUUUUGAGCUUCAUUCUCUUCAAAAAAUCUUCUAUGUCAAUCCUAAGCCAGGAUCAUACUUUCUUAAUUAAUCGAUUUUUAUAGUAAUUCUUAAAGUCAGAUAAUAUAAAUGCUCCAAAUUUGUUAUUUUUCAAAAAUGCUUUAGUAUCCUCAGUUCUUUGAAUUAAACAAGCUGACUCAACUAAAUAAAUGUUUUCUUUGUGGAUUGUUGGGAGAAUUGACAUAUUUCCAUUAUUUAAACUUCUAUAAUUUCUCUCAACAACAUCUUAUAGUUAUCAGUAUAGAGGUUUUCAUGUGUUUGGCUACAUUUUUCCUAAAUAUUUUGAGUUUUUUUAAACACAAUUAUAAAAUUUUAAUUAUUAGCUGCCAAUAUAUAAGAACAAGAUUGUUUUUGUAUCUUUACUUUGUGUCCUUAAACCUUGUUAAAUUUACUUAUUAGUUCUAACAGUUGUUUAUAGAUUGCUUAGGGGUUUUUUUUGUUGUUUGUUUGUUUGUUUUUGGUAAACAGUGAUGGUGAAUGCAAAGAGAGACAGUUUCUUCCUUUGUAAACUCUGCAAAGUUCUACUUCUUCCUUUGCCUUUGAUUCCCUCUUUUUGUCUUGUGGCAAAGGCUAAGGCCUCCAGUAAAGUAGAGGUGGUUGUAGACGAUAACCUUGCCUGGAUCCUAAUUUUAGGGGGAACAUUCAAUAUCUCACCAGUAAAUGUAGCUGCAGAUGCUUAGAUAAAUAGAAAUUCUCAAGGAAUGUCCAUUUCAUUGACACUGUUGAGUUUUUGUCAUAAAGUUGUUCAUAAUAUUUCUUAUUAUCUUUUUAACAUCUAUGGAUAACUCCUGAUAUAGAUCUUUUAUAUUCUCACUCUUUUUCUGGAUUGGAUUAUCUAGAGAAUUAUAAUUUCUGCUCUUGUCUUUAUUAUUUCCUUCUCCUUAUAUUUUGAGAUGUCUAUGUUGUUCUUUCUCCAACUUUUUGAAGUGGAAGCAUAGAUAUUGAUUUUAAACCAUUCUUUUCUAGGUAAAACAUAUGAAGCUGUACAAUUUUCUAUUUAUUUCUUUCAGUCAAUCCCAUUUAUGAACCUGGCAAUGCAUAAGGGAAAGAUGUUUAUGCAUUAUAGAUAGAAGUCCUUUUGUUAGAUACCUCCCACUGACUUCUUUUGAAAUUUGAUUUCUUUCCCAUUUGAUGACUUUUGAUGUAUUGAGUUUCAUUAUUAUUUAGUUUAAAAUAUUUUCUAAUUAUAUGAUUUCUUCUUUGAUCUAGUUAUAAUAUAGAAGUGUAUCAUUUAAUUUCCAAAUAUUUGAUGCUUUCUUAAGUUUCCUAUUGUUAUUAAUUUCUAAUUCUGUUUUUAAAGAACAAUCUGCAUGGUUUUAAUUGUUUUCAUUUUAAGCUGUUUUAUGGCCAUGCAUUUGAUCUGUCUUGGUGCAUAUACCAUUCAUAAUUGAAAAGAAGUGUAUUCUUUCGGCUGUAGCUCAGUGGCAGAGGUACUAGGUUUGAUUCUCAGCACCACGUAAAAAUAAAUAAAUAAAGAUAUUGUGUCCAACUAAAAAAAUAUUUUAAAAAGUGUAUUCUUCAAUUGUUGAGUGUAAUGUUCAACAAAUAUUAGUUAGAUCAAGGUGGUUAAUCUUGUUCAAAUCCUCUGUGCCCUAGACUGGUGGGGAGUUUAGCCUGUUUGUACAGAUUCUUCACUGUGUCCAUGAGUCUUCAGAGAUAAAGAUGCUCAUUUCCUCUGGUAGAAUGAUGGCAUCUUUCUUUUUUUUAAUUUUUAUUUUUUAAAUUGACUUUUUAAAAAUAAAUGACAGUGGAAUGCAUUACAAUUCUUAUUACACAUAAACCGCAUAAUUUUUCGUAUCUCUGGUUGUAUAUAAAGUAUGUUCACACCAAUUUGUGUCUUCAUACAUGUACCUUGGAUAAUGAUGUCCAUCACAUUCCAUCAUCCUUGCUAACUACCUGCUCCUACUUCCCCUCCCACCCCUCUGCCCUAUCUAGAGUUCGUCUGUUCCUCUCAUGCUCCCCCUCCCUACCCCACUAUGAAUCGGCCUUCUUAUAUCAGAGAAAACAUUCAGCAUUUGUUUUUUGGGGAUUGGCUAACUUCACUUAGCAUUAUCUUCUCCAACGCCAUCCAUUUAUUCUCUUUUAUUGCUGAGUAAAAUUCCAUUGUGUAUAUAUGCCACAUUUUUUUAAAUCCAUUCAUCUGUUAAGGGUAUCUAGGUUGGUUUCACAGUUUAGCCAUUGGGAAUUGUGCUGAUAUAAACAUUGAUGUGGCUGUGUCCUUGUAGUAUGCUGUUUUUAAGUCCUUUGAGUAUAGACUGAGGAGAGGGAUAGCUGGGUCAAAUGGUGGUUCCAUUCCCAGUUUUCCAAGGAAUCUCAUAUUGCUUUCCAUAUUGGCUCCAUCAAUUUGCAGUCCCACCAGUAAUGUAUGAGUGUACCUUUCCGCCCACAUCCUUGCAACACUUAUUGUUGUUUAUCUUCAUAAUAGCUACUACUCUGACUGGAGUGAGAUGAUAUCGUAGAGUAGUUUUGAUUUGCAUUUCUCUAAUUGCUAAUGAUGAGCAUUUUUUCAUACAUAUGUUGAUUGACUGUAUAUCCUCUUCUGAGAAGUGUCUGUUCAGGUCCUUGGCCCAUUUGUUGAUUGGGUUAUUUGUUUAUUUAUUUAUUUAUUGGUGCUUAACUUUUUGAGUUCUUUAUAUACCCUGGAAAUUAGUGCUCUAUAUGAUGUGUGAGGGGUAAAAAUUUGCUCCCAAGAUGUAGGCUCUCUAUUCACCUCACAGAUUGUUUCUUUUGCUGAGAAGAGACUUUUUGGUUUGAAUCUACACCCAUCUUGUGCUAUAGGAGUCUUAUUAAGGAAGUGGGGGCCUAAUCCCACAUGAUGAAGAUUAGGGCCUACUUUUUCGUCUAUUAGACACAGAGUCUCUGGUUUAAUUCCUAGGUCCUUGAUCCACUUUGAGUUUUGUACAUGGUGAGAGAUAGGGGUUUAAUUUCAUUUUGUUGCAUAUGGAUUUCCAGUUUUCCCAGCACCAUUUGUUGAAGAGGCUAUCUUUUCUCCAAUGCAUGUUUUUGGCACCUUUGUCUAAUAUAAGAUAAUUGUAAUUUUGUGGGUUAGUCUCUGUGUCCUCUAUUCUGUACCAUUGGUUUACCAGUCUGUUUUGGUGCCAAUACCAAGCUGUUUUUGUUAUUAUUGCUUUGUAGUAUAGUGUAAGUUCUGGUAUAGAGAUGCCACCUGCUUCACUCUUCCUGCUAAGGAUUGCUUUAGCUAUUCUGUGUCUCUUAUUUUUCCAGAUGAAUUUCAUGAUUGCUCUUUCUAUUUCUAUGAGGAACGCCAUUGGAAUCUUGAUCGGAAUUGCAUUAAAUUUGUAUAGUGCUUUUGGUAGUAUGGUCAUUUUGAUAAUAUUAAUUCUGCCUGUUCAAGAAGCAAGGUAGAUCUUUCCAUCUUCUAAGGUCUUCUUUGAUUUCUUUCUUUAAGGUUCUGUAGUUUUCAUCAUAGAGGUCUUUCACCUCUUUCAUUAAGUUGAUUCCCAAGUAUUUUAUUUUAUUUUUUUGAAGCUAUUGUAGAUGGGAUAGUUUUCCUCAUUUCCCUCUCAGAGGAUUUGUCACUAAUAUACAAAAAUGCCUUUGAUUUAUGGGUGUUGAUUUUAUAUCCUGUGAUUUUGCUGAAUUCAUUUACUAGUUCUAGAAGUUUUCUGGUGGAGCUUUUUGGUUUAGAAUCAUAUUGUCAGCAAAUAGUGCUAAUUUAAGUUCUUCUUUUCCUAUUUGUAUCCCUUUAAUUUCUUUCACCUGUCUAAUCACUCUGGCCAGUGUUUCAAGAAGUAUGUUAAAUAGAAGUGGUGAAAGAGGGCAUCUCUGUCUUGUUCCAAUUUUUAGAGGGAAUGCCUUCAAUAUUUCUCCAUUUAGAAUGAUGUUGGCCUGAGGCUUAGCGUAGAUAGCCUUUAUGAUGUUGAGAUAUGUUCCUGUUAUCCCUAGUUUUCUAGUGUUUUGAGCAUGAAAGGGUACUGUAUUUUGUCAAAUGCUUUUUCUGCAUCUAUUGAGAUGAUCAUAUGAUUCUUAUCUUUGAGUCUAUUGGUAUGAUGAAUUAUAUUUAUUGAUUUCUGUAUGUUGAACCAACCUUGCAUCCCUGGGAUAAAUCCCACUUGAUCAUGGUGCAUGAUCUUUUUGAUAUGUUUUUGUAUUCAAUUUGCCAGAAUUUUAUUGAGAAUUUUUGCACCUAUGUUCAUUAGAGAUACGGGUCUAAAGUUUUCUUUCUUUGAUGUGUCUUUGCCUGGUUUUGAAAUCAGGGUGAUUUGGCCUCAUAGAAUGAGUUUGGAAGUGCUGCCUCUUUUUCUAUUUCCUGAAAUAAAUUGAAGAGUAUUGGUGUUAGUUCUUCUUUAAAGGUUUUGAAGAACUCAGCUGUGUAUCCAUCUAGUCCUGGGCUUUUCUUGGUUGGUAGGCUUCUGAUGGUGUCUUCUAUUUCAUUACUUGAUAUUGGUCUGUUUAAAUUGUGUAUAUAUUUCUGAUUCAAUCUGAGCAAAUCGGAUGACUUAAGAAAUUUGUCAAUGCCUUCAAUGUCUUCUAUUUUAUUGGAAUAUAAGUUUUCAAAAUAAUUUCUAAUUAUCCUCUGUAUGUCUAUAGUGUCUGUUGUGAUAUUACCUUUUUCAUUACUUAUGCUGAUAAUAUGAGUUUUCUCUCUCCUUCUCUUCAUUAGCAUACCUAAGGGUCUGUCAAUUUUAUUUAUUUUUUCAAAGAUCCAACUUUUUGUUUUGUUAAUUUUUUCAAUUGUUUCUUUUAUUUUGAUUUCAUCUCUAAUUUUAAUUAUUUCUUGCCUUCUACUGCUUUUGCUGUUGAUUUGUUCUUCUUUUUCUAGGGCUUUGAGAUGUAAUGUGAGGUCAUUGAUUUGUUGACUUUUUCUUUUUUUAAGGAAUGAACUCCAUGCAAUGAACUUUCCUCUUUGUACUUCUUUCAUAGUGUCCCAGAGAUUUUGAUAUGUUGUGUCUAUGUUCUCAUUUACCUCUAAGAAUUUUUUAAUCUCCUCCUUGAUGUCUUCUGCAACCCAUUGUUAAUUCAGUAACAUAUUGUUUAGUCUCCAGGUGUUGGAGUAAUUUUUAUUUUUUAUUUUGUCAUUGAUUUCCAAUUUCAUUCCAUUAUAAUCUGAUAAAAUGCAUGGUAGUAUCUCUAGUUUUUUGUAUUUGCUAAGAGUUGCUUUAUGGCAUAUUAUAUGGUCUAUUUGAGAGAAGGAUCCUCGUGCUGCUGAGAAGAAAAUGUAUCCGCUUGAUGCAGGUUGAAAUAUUCUAUAUAUGUCAGUUAAGUCUAAGUUAUUGAUUGUGUUAUUGCUAUAGGUUCUUUAUUCAACUUUUGUUUGGAAGAUCUAUCCAGUGGUGAAAGAGGUGUGUUAAAGUCACCCAAGAUUAUUGUGUUGUGGUCAAUUUGACUCUUGAACUUAAUAAGAAUUUGUUUGAUGAACAUAGCUGCACCAUUAUUUGGUAUGUGUGUAUGUAAUGUCCAUCUUUAUCCCUUUUGAUUAACUUUGGCUUGAAGUCUACUUUAUAGAAACCCCUGCUUGUUUCUGCAGUCCAUGUGAAUGGUGUGAUUUUUCCCAACCUUUCACCUUCAGUCUGUGUAUGUCUUUUCCUAUCAGAUGAGUCUCCUGGAGGCACCAUAGUGUUGGGUCUUUUUUUUUUUUUUAAUCUAAUCUGCUAGUCUAUGUCUUUUGAUUGGUAAGUUUAAGCCAUUAAUGUUCAAGGUUAUUAUUGAGACAUGGUUUGUAUUCCCAGCCAUAUUUGAUCAUUUUUGUUAUUUAACUUGACUUGAUUUUCUUCUUUGGUUGGUUUUUCCUUUAGGGUACUAUCUCCCUCUUCUGAUUUUCAUUGUUGUUUUUUGUUUCCUCUUCAUGGAAUAUUUUUCCAAAGAUUUUUUGUAGUGCUGGUUUUCUAGCUAUAAAUUCUUUUAACUUUUGUUUAUCAUGGAAAGUUUUUAUUUCAUCUUUAAAUAUAAAGCUUAAUUUUGCUAGAUACAAGUUUCUUGGUUGGCACCCAUUUUUUUUUUCAGAGCUUGAUAUAUGUUGUUCCAGGAUCUUCUAGUUUUCAGGGUCUGCGUUGAAAAAUCUGCCGUUAUCCUAAUUGAUUUUCCCCUAUGUGUAAUCUGAUUCCUUUCUCUCGUGGCUUUUACAAUUCUCUCCUUAUUCUGUAUAUUGGGAAUUUUCAUUAUGAUGUGCCUUGGUGUGGAUCUGUUGUGAUUUUGUACAUUUGGCAUCCUUUAUUUAGGCUUCUUGAAUUUGGAUUUACAAUUCAUUCUUCAUGUUUGGAAAGUUUUCUGAUAUAAUUUCAUGGAAUAGAUUGUUCAUUCCUUUAGUUUGGACCUCUAUGCUUUUCUCUAUCCCAAUAACUCUUAAAAUUGGUCUUUUUAAUACUAUCCCAUAUUUCUUGAAUGUUCUGCUUGUGGUUUCUUACAAUUAUCACCAUGUGGUCUAUGUUCUUAUCAAGAUUAUAUAUUUUAUCUUCAUUGUCUGAUGUCCUAUCUUCCAAGUCAUCUACUCUGUUAGUAUUGCUUUCAUUUGAGCUUUUAAUUUGGUUUAUUGUUUCUUUCAUUUCAAGAAUUUCUGUUUAGAUUUUCUUUUUUUUUUUUUAAGAACCUCUAUCUCCCUUUUAAGGUCAUCUUUUGCUUCCUUUAUUUGUUUAUGUAGUUUCUUGUUAAAGUGAUCUUUCACUACCUGUGUUUGCUCUCUUAUACCUUCCUUGAGUUCACAGAACAUUUUAACCAUGUGCAUCCUGAACUCCUUCUCUGUAAUUUCUUCUGAUAUGGCUGCCAAUGAUUCUAAUGAUGUGGUGUCUUGAUUUGUUUGGGGCACUUUCUUCCCUUGUCUUUUCAUGUUGCUCGUGUAUCUUCCUUUCAAGCUCUGUCAGUCUGAGGUGUUAUUGUUUUUACCCCAUAGGUUUGUAGUGCUCUUGUAGGGUUCCAAGAUCUUUUUGUGGGGAAGGACAAUGCUAAUAGAUUGCAAUAUCAACAAUAUACCACCUAUGAACAAUCUGUUGUUAUUAAGACGUUUACAGUUUAGUCUCAAUGUACAGAAAUGUUGGAUUCAAUUAUUAACUGAAAUACAUUCAGUAGUUUUGAAAAAGGUUUACAGUUUCUGACGGUGGACAAUGAACUGGGGGUGGGUUGUAGGACGAUGUGCUGAGGAGGCAGGAUGUGAUGAUAUAGAGUUAGUAUAUCUUAGGAAGUGUGAAAGAGAAAUCAAAUGAAGAGGGUUAGUAGCAAGAGAAUAGACAGGAAGUAAUUUAGGGUAGACAAGUAUGUGGGAAGACAGUAGAGUACAUAAAACAAACAAACAUAUGUAUUUAGAAAAAUAUAUGAUGUUAAAAUAGUAAAAUUUGUAGGGGGAAAAUGAAAGAAGAAAAAAGAAAAAAAGGGCAUAUACAACACCUCUAUAUUAUAUUAUUCAGAUGACUCAGUCCUCAAAAUUCUAUGUCUUGCAAAGUUCUUGGUUUCACAUAUAUUGUGUGAGGGCUGGAGGAGAGAGGGGUAGAAGAGAAAGACAGAGAAAAAAUACUCAAAGGAAGUAACCAGAGUUGUUGCUAGUUUUAGAUACCCAUAUCUUUCCUGCUUCUCUUCUCAUCCAAUAGGUGGGGUUGUCUGUUGUAAGCUGGUGUCUCUGCCCUCAGGAUGGUGGAGGUAACCAGGGUGGGAAGGCUGUCCUGCUGCAGGGCUCCUGGAAGUGAGGAGUGCCACCAGCCAGUCCCUGCAGGGAGACUGCACUUCAUGGGUUGUUUUUUGGACUGCUGGUAUGACUUGAGCACCCGGUACUAUCUCCCUAUCUGCCUAGAGAUUUCCCAAUUCCUGAUCUCUCUGUUAGACUCUAAACUUUAGCCAUGUUUCCCUUUCCCUUAGCAGUUCCCAGUUGAGGAAUCUCUCACACUGGGGCUCCCAUGGGCGGCUCCCUGGUUGCACUGCACACCUCUGUUGGGCAGUUACUGUGUUGAGUUAUCGCUUCUGGGGAGAGGGGGAGUUGGAAACCUGAUAUCUGGCCAGAUGGAGACCUGAUCUGGGAACUGCCCCCACCAAAUAUGGCGAGAAAGGUGAUCCAAGAUGGAGGGAGUCUGUUUCCAGUGCCAGGGUGUCUUAUGAGGUGAGGGGAGUUGGGCAAUGGUGUUGUGCUGUGGUUAGGUAGCAGCUGAGUGACCUGCGUGGGAGUGGAGCAAAGUCUGGAGUUCUGCAGAGGUGCUGAUAGGUGAUUCUGCUAAGCACUUGAGAGCCAUGCAUGGGCUAGAACUUCGGGCUUUGGGUUUCAGGAGCCAGGAGUCUGUAGUCCUGCUCGAACACUGAGGCUCGGAGCCCUGCAUGGGGAGUCACGUGUUGGUGAUUUCUGUGGAAAUCAUCUGUAUAGGGGUCCUCUAACACUCUCUGAGAGGCAGUAUUCUGACUAGGUGAGAUCUGGAUCAUGGAGCAACACAGAAUGCUGCCUCCCUCUGGCCUGCCAUCUUCUCUCUCCAUGAUGUCAUCUUUCACAUAAGGGUCUUAUGACCUGCUUCAGAGAAAAAUGAAAAAAACCCUUCCCAUCUUUAUGAUCUGCUUCAGAGGAAAAGUGUGGGGAAGGUCAAAAAGACCUCCCUAUACUGGCAGUUUCUCAAUUAGUUCAAAAUGCUAAAUUUUGAUGUAGGGUCAUUUGAACCUCAUCACAUAGAAUCACCACCCAAAACAAGAUACUAGAUAUUUCUAUAAUUUCAAAAAUUUCCCAUUGCUCAUUUCAUUCAAUUAGCUUCCCUCCAUCCCUGCUGCCAGUUUCUCAUGUCUAUCAUUAUGGAUUAGUUUUACCUAUUCUAGAACUUCAAAUAGAAUUAAACAGUAUGUUAUUCUUAUGUGUGUUACUUCUUUUGCCUAACACAAUGGUUUUGCAUUUCAACCAUGUUUUUAUAUGUAUCAAUAGUUCUUUCUUUUUAAAAGUGAUGACUAGUAUUCCAUUGCAUUAAUAUGCAGCAAUUUUGAUUAAUCUAUUUACUUAUUGAUGAAUUUUGGGUUGAUUUAAAUUAUUCAACUAUAGUGAUUCAAACUGCCAUGAAGAUUCUUAUAUGUUGAGAGCCACAGCUGGAGCGGCCCCAGCAAACUUCCAGCUGAUUGGCUCACGGGGGCCCAGCAAACUUUCAGCUGCCAGCUGAUUGGCUCCUCUGCGGUGAUGCUCAUUGGGCUUUUUCCCCACCCUUUCAGACCACGGAGCUGCUCAUUGGGGGACUCUUUUGGCUCCGCCCACGUGACCCAGCCAAUCAGCCUCAAGAGCCGGAGGAGUGGGGGUUGAGAGGCUCGCUGGAAGCCAGUGGUGGCAGUUGGGCUCUGAGGGAAUUCCUGGAGAGCUCCUGUGGUGCGCGUUGCCUUCUAAAAAUAAAGUUUGUUCCUGCUUGACAAGUGGCCUGAAUUGUGCCCAGCCAGACUGCGGCAUUUGGUGGCCUGUACGGGGAACAAACCCGCGACCUUGGUGUUAUCUAAAAAUAAAGUUCGUUCCUGCUUGACAAGUGGCUCGUGAAUUGUGCCCAGCCAGACUGCAGCACUUAUACAAGUUUUUUAAUGGACAUAUAUAGAUGUCCCUUGACUUACAAUGGGGUCAUGUCCUGAAAAACCCAUUGUAAAGUUGAAAGUAUCACAAGUCAAAUAUGCAUUUAACUUAACUGAACACCAGAGCACAGCAUAGUCUACCUUAACUCAGAACUUACAUUAGCCAAUGGAUGGGCAGAAUUGUCUAACAUAAAGCCUAUUUUAUAUACGGUGACCAUGUGAUUACAUAGCUGACUGGGUGUUGAGGCUCAUUGCCACCACCCAAUGUUAUGAAAGAGUAUUGCUACCCUGGGAAAAGAUCAAACUGAAGUACAGUUUCUACCAAAUGCACACUGCUUUCACAACACCUUGAAAAAUCAUUGAGUGUAACCAUUGUUAAGUUGGGAUGAUCUGUGUUUUUAUUUCUCUAAAUAAACACUUAAAAGUCCAAUUGCUAGAUCAUGGGGUAAAUAAAUGUUUAAUUAUUUAGCAAAUUACCAAACAGUUAUUCAAAGAGCUUACAUGUUCACCAGGAGGAACCCAUUUCCUCCACAUAUCAACACUAGACUUUAGUCACUGUAAUGAAUUAAAUGGAAUCCCAUGUGUUUUAAAUUGGCAUUUCCCUGAUAAUUUAAAGAUGUUGCUCAACUUUACUUGUGCUUAUUGGCUAUUCCUAUAUCUCCCUUUGUGAAAUGUCUAUUUAAUUCUUUGUCUAAGAUUUUAAAAUUGUUUUCUUUUCACUUGUAUUUUUAUAUAAUAUAAAAUACAAAUUUAAUGUAUUUAUUUGUAACAUAAGACAGGAUUCAGGACACUUCCCUAAAAUAAUCCAGCUUGGCACUGGAGAAAACAGCAAGAGCUUCUCUAAAGCAGGCUGUAGGAGAGCUCUCUGCCUUUUCCCCAGUUAGAUCAUAAGACCCUCAUUCCAGACAGGUCCUCCCCCCACACAGAGGAAAGCCAGGAGACACAAAGACACAGAGAAGAAUCUGAACAAACAGGCCUUGCAAACUUGCCCCAGUUUAUCACCAUUAGUUCAGAACGCUUUUAGUCACCCAUCUCCGUGGCUGUCCUCUCUGCAUCAAACUACGUCAGAACAUCAGCUCCCUUCUUUUUUCGGGUCUGCAUUUCUGAAGGCAUGAUGUCAUGUAAAACUUAUAUUAAUCAAUUGGUAAGCUUCUCUUGUUAAUUUUUCUUGUUCUAUAGGAUCUCGGUUAUGAACUUGGUAAUGCAUAAGGAAAAAAAUAUAUUUAUGCAUUAGAGAUAAAAGGCCUUUUGUUAGAUACCUCCCACUGAUUUCUGAUCAUACUGAUCUGAAGAGCUAACUACUUCUAUUUUUGUUAGAAGACAUUUUAUCUUCUCAGUUAGCCUUGCCAAUGCACAAGUUUAACUAUCCAGAGUACUGAGGGAUCCACGCGCUUCCUGCUGCACCCCCUUCCUGAUGCGUUCUACUCUUUAUCCACCUCUGGACACGCAUCAGUCACACUCAAACUGACCUCCUGAGCUGAGACUAAGAACAUGAUUAGGUAGCUUUCCAUUUGAUUUUGUUGUUGCUGUUGAAAAAAGUUCUACUUUUAAUCAAUGAGAUACUUGUAUAUAUUUUAUUGGUACAAUGUAUAUUAUGGGGUACAUUUCUGACAUGCUGAUUUCAGUUCUUUUAAUACAUUACAGGAUGAGCAAAUUAGACUAACGCAUUCAUUGCCUCAAAUAUUUACUAUUUGUUUGUGGUAAGAAUGUUUAAAAAUAUUCUCUUUUAGCCACUUUGAAUAUGAAGUACAUCGUCAUUAAUUAUAAUCAUGGUGCUGAACAGUAAAACACCAGAAAUUAUUCCUUCUGAGACUCAUUGCUAGUUGACCAGCAUCUCCAGGUCCCCAGUCAUUCCCACCCCCCAGCUGUUAGUAAUCACUAAUCUAUUCUCCUUUGAGAUCAACUUUUUUAGAUUCCACAUGUAAGUGAGAUCAUAUAGUAUUUGUCUCUUUGUGUCUGGCUUAUUUCACUUAACAUAAUGUCCCCCAGGUUCAUCCAUGUGGUUUCAGGUGACAGUUUCCUGUUGUUUUUAAAGCUGAAUAGUAUUCCACUGUGUGUAUAUACAUACACCAUGUUAAAAAAUGUGUUCAUCCACUGACAGAGUUUGAGUUGUUUUGAUGUCUCGUCUAUGUGAAUAAUGUUGCCAUGAACAAGGGAAAGAUGUUGAGUAUUUUUCCACAUAUUUGUUGGCUAUUUGAAUGUUAUCUUUUGAAAAAUGUCUAUUCAAGUCCAUUGCUUAUUUUUAAAUGAAAUUAUUUAUUCUGUUACUGACUAGUUUGAGUUCCUUGAAUAUUUUGAAUAUUAGCUCCUUUUGAUAAUGUGAUUAUGGUUUCUCCAAAGCUCGUGUUGUCUUUAUCGUUUCAUUGACUGUGCAGAGUGUUCUAGUUGGAGACCCUCCCAUUUGUCUAUUUUUACCUUCAUUGCCUGUGUUUUGGGGGUCAUAACCAAGAAAUCACUGCUUAGAUCAAUGUCCUGAAAUUUUCCCAUUUUUUUUUCUAAAAAUUUUUGCGGUUUUAAGGUCUUAUGUUUAACUCUUUAAUUAAUUUCAAGUUGCUUCUGGCAAAAGUGGUGAAAUAAAGCUUCCUUUUUUUAUUCUUUGCAUGUGAAUAUCUAGUUUUUCUGACAUCAUUUAUUGAAGAUACUGUCUACUCUCAUAGUAUAUUCUUGGCUCCUUUGUAGAAAAUCAAUGACUGUAGAUGUGUGGGUUUAUUUCUGGGCUUUCUAUUCUAUUUCAUUGGUUAAUAUUUCUGUUUUUAUGCAAUUACCAGGCAGUUUUGAUAACUAUAGUUUUGUAACAUAUUUUGAAAUCCAGUAGCAUGAUGCCUCUAGCUUAGUUUUUUUUUUUUAAAAUAUUUUUUAGUUGUAGAUGGAUACAAAAAACCUCUAUAUGAUUGAUUGAUUUUUCUGUGGUACUGAGGAUCAAACCCAGUGCUUCUGUGUGCCAAGCAGGUACUAUACCACUGAGCCACAACUCCAGCCUCUAGCUUAGUUUCUUUUGGUUAAUAUUGCUUUAGGUUUGGGGGUGUUUUGUGGUUUCAUACAUAUUUAGAUUUUGAUUUCCGUUUUUAAAGACAUUGAAAUUUUGAUAGGAUUUCAUUAAAUCUAUGAAUUGUUUUGGUAGUAAGGAUAUUUUAACAAUAUUGAUUCUUCCAAUCCAUGAACGUGAACUAUCUUUCCUUUUGUUCGUGUCAACUUCAAUUUCUUUCAUCAAUAUUUUACAGUUUUCAGCAUAUACAGAUCUUUCAAAUCUUUUGGUUAAAUUUACUUCAUUGUACUUUAUUUUUUUAUGCUAUUGUGAAGGAAAUUUUUUUCCUCAUAAUAUUUUAUCCUUAUUCUUUUUUUUUUUUUAUGAGACAGGAUCUUGCUAUGUUGCCCAGCCUAAGUGAAAGAAGAUUGUUUGCUUAAUUUCUUUUUCAGACUGUUUAUUGUUAGUAUAGAGAAAUACCACUGAUUUUUGUAAGCUGAUGUUCUAUCCUGUAACAUUACAGAAGUCUAUCAGUUCUAAGAGUUUAUUGGUGGUGUCUAUAUGGUUUUCUGUAUAUAAGAUCAUGUUAUCAGCAGAGACCAUAAUGUUAUCAGCAGAGACCAUAUCAUUUAUCCUUCACUAUUUGAGUGACUUUUCUUUCUUUCUCUUGCCUAAUUGCUCUGGCUAGGAUUUCCAAUAUUAUGUAGAGUGGAAAUCGUGGGUUUGUUGUUUUGUUUUAUUUUUUCCUAAUCCAAGGAAAUCUUUGUUUUGUUCGUGAUCUUAGAGGCAGAGCCUUCAACUUUUCAUUGUCAGUUAAGAUGUUAGCUGUAACUUGUGUGGCCUUUAUGUUGUUGAGAAACAUUCCUUUAUGCCUAAUUUGUUGAGAGUUUUUAUCACGAACCAAUGUUGAAUUUUGUCAAAUGCUUUUUAUACAUCUAUUAAGAUGAUCAUAUGGUUUUUGUCCUUCAUUCUAUUAAUAUGGUACACAUAUCAAACCUAUCCAGAGACAUGGUGAUCAUGGUGAAUGAUCCUUUUAAUGUACCAUUGAAUAUGUUUUGCUAGUAUUUUGAGUAUUUUUUUUGUCUUCAUCAUGAACAUUGGCCUAUAGGCUAUUUCUUCUGUUAUGUUUUUUUUAAAAAAAUUUUUUUUUGUUUGUUUUUCUACCAUGGAUUGAACCUAGGGGUGCUUAACCAUUAAGCCACAUCUCCAGUCCUUUUUAUAUUUUUAUAUUUUAUUUUGAGAUAGGGGUUGCUAAGUUGCUUAGGACCUCACUGUUGAGGCCAGCUUUGAAUUCGCAAUCCUCCUGCCUCAGCAUCCUGAGCCAUUGGGAUUAUAGGCAAGUACCACCACGCCCAGCUCUUGUGUCUUUGCCUGGGACUUAUAAAGUGAAUUUGGAAAUACUCCUUCCUCUUCGAGUUUUUGGAGGAAUUUGAGGAAGAUUGGUAUUAGUUCUUGAAGUGACUGAUAAGAUAUAGCUGUGCAGCUACCGGGUUCUGUGCUUUUCUUCAAUGGCAGACUUUGAAUUACCAAUUCAAUCUCAUUACUUGUUGCUGGUCUGUUCCAAUUAUAAUUUCUUGGUGAUUCAGUGUUGGUAGAUUAUGGCUUAGGAAUUUAUCCAUUUGCUCCAGGUCAUUCAAUUUAUUGUCAUUUAUUUGUUCAUAGUAGUCUCUUAUGAUCCUUUGUGUUUCUCUGCCUCAGAAAACAUCUUUGUUAAGCUUUUCAAAAAAAAAAAAAAAAUCAACUCAUAUAUUUGUUGAUCUUUUCUAUUUCUCUUCUAGUUUCUAUUUCAUUUAUAUUUGCUUGGUUUUUGUUCUUCAUUCUGGUAACUUUGGGCUUAGUUCUUUUUCUAGUUCUUUGAGGUGAGUGUUCAUUUGUUUAUUUGAGGUCUUAUUUGUCUAUGUAGGGGUUCAUGGCUACGAAUUCUCUUUUAGAACUGCUUUUGUUACCUAGUACUCAUAAGCUUUAGUAGGCUGUGUUUAUAUUUAAUUUUUGUCUCUGGAUAUUUUAAAAAAAUUUCUCUUUAAUUUCUUCUUUUGCUCAAUGGUUGUUCAGUAGAAUAUGGCUUAAUUUACACAUAUAUGUUAAUUUUCCAUAAUUCCUCCUGUUACUGAUCUCUAAUUUCAUAUCUUUGUGGUCAGAAGUGAUACUAGAUAUUAUUUCAUUCUUCUGAAAUCUAUUCAGGCUUAUUUUGUGACCUAACAUAUGACUAUCCUGGGGAAUAGUCUGUGUGCACUUGAGAGGAACGUGUCAUCUAUUGCUGUGGGGUACAAUGUUCUGUAUAUGUCUAUUAGGUCUAAGGUGUAGUUCAGGUUCCAUGUUUCUUUGUUGUUUAUCCUUAUUUUGUGGAUGAUCUGUCCAAUGUUGGUAGUGGGAUCUUUUUUCUUCCUUAUUCCUCUGCCUCCUCUUCCUUUUCCCCCUCCUUUUCUUUUCUCUUUCUCUUCUUCCUUCUGUUCUUCUUCCUCCUCUUCUUUCCCUUCCUCCCCUUCCCUGUCUCCUUCCACUUUUCCUUCUCACCAAGCCCUUUCUAAAUUUGAGACAGUUCUCACUAAGUUACCCAGGCUGGCCUCAAAGUUGGAAUCCUCCUGCCUUAGCCUCCCAAGUAGUUGGGAAUACAGUUGUGUGUAACCACAUCUGACUGGAAGUCGGCUCUUGAAACCUCCUCAUAUUACUGUGUUAUAGUCUAUUUCUCUCUUCAGUUCUCAUAAUGUUUGCUUUAUGUAUUUAGGUGCUAUGAUGUUGGGUGCAUGUGUAUUUUUACUUGUACUAUUCUCUUGCUGAAUUGAUCCCUUUAUCACUAUAUAAUGUUCUUCUUUGUCUUUUUUUUUUUUACAGUUUUUGACUUGAUGUGUAUUUUGUCUGAAAUACGUAUGGCCCCUAUUCUGUUUUGGUUCCCUUUGCAUAUCUUUCUCAAUUUCUUCACUUUUAGUCUAUGAGAAUCCUUUAAGGUGAAGCAUCUUUUGUAGGCAUCACCUAGUUGAGUCUUAUUUUUUAAAUCCAUUCAGUCACUCCUAUACCUUUUUUUAAAAAAAAUAUUUUUAGCUGCAAAUGGAUACAAUACCUUUAUUUUUUUUAUGCAGUGCUGAGAAUCAAACCCAGGGCCUCACACAUGCUAGGCAAGCGCGCUACCACUGAGCCACAACCCCAGCCCUCCCUAUACCUUCUAAUUGGAGAAUCUAACCCUUUUACAAAGUAAUUAUUGAUAGAUGGGUAUUUACUAAUGUCAUUUUGUUAAUUAUUUUCUGGUUGUUUUCUAUGUCCUUUGUUCUUUUCUUUAUGGCUUGAUGGCUUUCUUUUGCGAUAUGUUUGAAUGUUUUCUUUCUUUUAUUCUUUGUGUAUCUAUUAAAGACUUUUGCUUUGUGGUUACCCUGAGGCUCAUAUAAAACAUCUAUGCUUAUAGAUGGCUAUUUCAAACUAGUAACAGCUUUGCAUACAAAACCUCCACAUUUUUACUCUCCCUCUUCCAUGUUUUAUGUUUGUAAAGUCAAAAUUUUGUUUUUAAAAUAAUUUGUAUCCUUAAAAAAUUAUUGUAGCUUUAGUAUUUUUCUUUCUCUCUCUUCCUCUCUCUCUCUCUCUCUCUCUCUCUCUUUCUUUUUUUCUUGCUUUUUUGCUUUCUUGCUUUUUCUUUCUUUCUUUGAAUUGAACAUAAAGCCUUCCACUAAGCAAGUGCUCUACCACUGAGUUAUACUCCAAGGCCUUUUUAUUUUAUUUUAAAAUUUGAGACAGUUCUCACUAAGUUGCUGAGGCUGGUCCAGCCUCUUGAGUAGCUGGGAUUACAGGUUGUGUUACUGUGUUGGGCUUGAUUUAAUUGUUUUUAAUAGUUUUAACUUUUAGCCUUUGUUCUAGAGAUACAGUUACAGUGUCAGAUCAUUUCAGAUUGUUUUACUGUGUUCAGUGAGAUUUAUACUUGCAUAUGAUUUCAUGUUAUGAAUUAAUUUCUUCCUUCUUCUGCUCAAGAAACUCCUUUUGGCCCCCUUUUUUUCUUAUUUCUUUAGUGCAUUUAUAGUUGUACAUAAUAGUGGGGCUCAUUUUGACAUAUUCAUAAAUACAUAUAACAUAGUUUUUUCCAUUCUUCUUCUCCCAGUAUGUGCAGAGUGGCCACUUCACAUUCUCCUGACCGUGUUGUUAAACCUUGCUGGAGACGAGUUGUUGUUUCUGGCUGAAGUUUUCCCUUUUCUUUCUAACAGUAAGGUGAAUAAAACUCAUUUUGUUCUAAAAGAGAAAAAAAUUCCAAACUAACAAAAUAAAGCCUGCAAUAUCAUGGAUAAUAAAACUAAAGAGAAUAAGUUUGGAACCAUAUAAGAACAAAAUGUCAACAUGUUCUUGGGUAUCCAGAAAAAAGCCCAGUAUCUUCAUAAGAAAAGAUGUAGUAUUUGGGACAAAGUAUGUACUGUUGCCUUAACUCUGGGAUGAAGCAUGGAAUAAAAUGAUGAAAGUCAUUUUCAUAUCAGAUAAGGACAUAUGAACAGUCUUCUAGUUUUAAGCAAAAUCUCAUUUUUCUUAUGAGAGCUCAUUUGGACAGUUUAAAUCCUGGUUUCUUGAAGUAUGGUCAAGACUACUGCAGCAGAAUCCCUUGGAAUGCUUGUUAAAAAUACCACUUGCUGGGGCUGGGUUGUGGCUCGGUGUUGGAGUGCUCGUUUUUUGUAUGCCAACUGCCCCCCUACCACAUUCCCUCCUUCUUCUCCUUCCCCCUCCCCAUCAUUUCCUUUAAUGCAGGUCCUAGUGGUGAUAAAUCAACUCAUCUUUUGUUUAUAUGAGAAAGUCUUUACCACAGCUUCUUUUUUUGAAAGACAGUGUUGCUGGGUAUAGUAUUCCUUAUUGGCAAUUUUUUCUUUCAGGAUUUUGGAUAUAUCACCCCUCUCCUUUUUGGCCUGCAAGGUUUCCACAGAAAAUCCUCUGUGAAUCUUACAUGGGUUCUCUUUUAUGGAGCUAUUUGCUUUUUUCUCACUGCUUUUAAAACAAUUUUAUUUUAGACAUGGAUUAUGAGGUGUCUCCAGUGUGGGUCUCUUUGAAUUCAUUUUAUUGUGGUCCUUUGAGUUUCCUAGAUCUGGGUUUUUAUUUCCUUCCACAAGCUUAAGAAGCUUUUUGCCAUUAAUUUUUUUGAAUAUAUUUUCUUUCUUUUCUCCCUUCCCUUCUCUUUUUUUUGGAUUAAACCAGGGGUGUUCAUUCACUGAGCUAUAUCCUCAACUGUUUUUAAAAAUGUUUUGAGACAGAAUCUCACUAAGUUAUCCAGGCUGGCCUUGAUCCUCCUGCCUCAGCCUCCUAAGUAGCUGGGAUUAUGCGCAUCACUAUGCUUGGUUCUCUGUUACAUUUGCAAAAAGUCUUUAUAAUUUCCUUUUAAAUCCUCAGUUACAUCCUUCUCCAAAAAAAAAAAAAAAUGGGGAAGGGGAUACUGAGGAUUGAACUCAGGGACACUUGACCACUGAGCCACAUCCCCAGCCCUAUUUUGUAUUUUAUUUAGAGACAGGGUCUCAUUGAGUUGCUUAGCACCUUGCUUUUGCUGAGGCUGGCUUUGAACUUAAAAUCCUCCUGUCUCAGCCUCCCGAGCCACUGGGAUUACAGGUGUGUACCAUUGUGCAUAGCUCCUCCUCAUAAUUUAUUAUUCAAAAGCAAGAAAACUUCAGUAAAAUUUGUAGAAAAUGCCAGAAAAUCGAUUUUUAAAAAGAAAAAGUGGAAGAAGAAAAGAACUUGUAUUCUGUGUGAGAAAAUAUAGUAUCUAUUCAGGGUUUUAAACCUAGGUUAAAGCAAUUAUUCCUAAAUUUGGGCAGUUUCCUUAGAGUUUUAAACAAUAACAUCAAAACUAUCCAUUAUCAAGCUGUAUUUGACCUUUUGAGUUAGGUUGGAAAAUGUUUGUUCUUUAUAUCUUAAGCUUAAUUUCAUUUUUGUUCUACCUAUUUGCACUGGCAGAGAUAUUAGACUAUCUUUUACCUUUUAAUAAAUUUAUUCACAAAUAGUUUCAAGUAGGUGGAUAUAUAUUUUCUCUCUUUUAAUCUUUUUUUUUUUUUUUUUUCACAGCACAGAUUUUAUUUCUCAAAUUUGGAGGCUGGAAGACCAAGACCAGGGGCCAACUUGUGAGAAAGUUCUUGUUGUGUCCUCCUGGGGAAGCAGGUGAAACAGGAACAAGGGCUGCUUUGAGAAGCCCCUUCCCAGGGAAGGAGAAUCCAUGGCCUGAGCAAUCUUCAAGUUCCCACCUGGUAUCACAUGGUAAUGCAGAGACAAAAUAGAAUGACAUCCCAUGCUCCCCAGAACAUCCCAACUUCUUGGCAUGACUCCAUUUCUGCAACCUUUCACAAGUCAUUAUUUUGGAUAAAACAAGAGUUAAGAUGAACACAUGGGGAGAGGGCUCCCUUCUCGGCUCCUGCUUGCAGUGUUGGAUGUGCCCUUACAAGGCAUCACUGAGGUUCUGCACAACAGCUCCAACUGCCCCCCUACCACAUUCCCAUGGGGCUGACUCACACUCAAGUCCUGAACACUCCCAAGCCCAUAAACCAGAAACAUCACAGGAAAUCCAAGGGAGAUUUGUUGAAAGUCUGCCAAAAACACCAAUCCACACAUGCUCAAGUCUCUUACAAAAAUGGCAGAGUAUUUGCAUCUAAACACUUCAUAUCUUCUUCCUUUAGCACUUCCAUUAUCUCUAGAUGACUUCUGACACCUAAUACAAUGAAAGGGCAGUGUCAUUCUCUAUAAUACUGUAAGAUCCAGGAAACAAUGAGGAGAGAAGUAUCUGUUCAGAGAGACACAACUCCUUUCCUGAUAGGUUUUGGAUUUCCAGCUGGUGGGGACCAUGGAUGCAGAAGAAUGGGUGCAGGGCCAACUGCAAUUUCUUGCUUUGCAUUGAUGGGAGGAAAUACUGCAGCCAAGAUGAGGGCUUCUAGGAGCUGAUAUCCUUCAAGUCAACAUCUGGACACGUCUGACCUUCAGGUCGGAAGACUUUCUUGCAGGGGAUCCAAGGACUUGCCUACUCUGUGUGGAACUUUUCAGGAAAAAGGGGAUCAAAUCUCAUGAAGCAACUCUUCUCUCUUCUAGCCCAUGGGCAAUGCAAGGAACCUGCAUAAUACCAGAGGCUCACUUCUCUCUUCUCAUGUCUUCUGGAAAUGAAUCAUUAAUGCUUCCUUCAAAGUGAAGCAGAAGCCUGCAUUCCCAACUGCACAGAAAUGUUUGAGGGCACUGUCUCCCAAAUGCAAAGGUCCAUGAAGAAUUACAGUCUCGAUACAUGAAUUCAUCAUCAAAAGCCUUGAGUCAACAGGGGCUUCACAAAAUGGCUUCUUGGCAAACUUGAUGACCUCCUCCUCAGACAAUGUUUCCACAUUGACUGGUCUUUCUUUUAAACCGGCCUCCUGCUCCCCAGGUCACAGUUGGCUCCUCUGUUGCUCUCCCACUCUCCAAGGGGCCUGCGCGUCAGGCCAUCUCUUUGCCUCUGACAUCGCGGCCCAGGCCACACUGCUGAGGCCACCGCAUCCUUCUCCACCGCCUGGACCCCGGGAGCCUGGACCCACCAGCCAGGACUGGCAGCCCCCUCCACUCUCUUUUAAUCUUCAGGAUGGAAGACAGUUAAAAGUGUCAUUCCAUUGCCUAUGAGCCCUCUUUGUUGAGUUAUUUCAUUUUAUUAUAACUCAGUUGUUCUACAAAACAAAGACAAUUCUUACAUUCCAUUUUAAUUAGAAAAGGGAAAUAGUCCUUUUUCACUCUUACAUAUUUAAAUGGUAUUGCAAAACUCUUCUUUUAGGUACCUUUCUUAGCUUGAAUGGGGGUGAAAUUCUUAAUUUUUCUCUCCAAUUAAAAAAUGCAUCUUCUUCACUUGGUUAAGGUCUUCCCUCUGUUUUUUUUCCCCCCUCUUCUCAUUCUCACUUUCUCCUUUGUAAGUUGCACAUAGAUAAUUGGAAAAGAACAAGAAGAUGACAAAGGUAGAAGUUGAGAUAGACAAAAACACACAGAGACAUACCAAGAGAGAUGUAGAGACGUACAGAGAGGGUUAUGAAGAUAGAACUUAGCAGUAAGAGAUACAUUGAUAGACACAAAACUAAUAUGUGAUGGUAAAUAGGCCACAUUCUGACUCUAUUGAUUUGGGUAUUAUGGGUAAUAUAGAUGCCUGUAUCACAUCUAAAGAAAACAAAUUAGAAAUACUUUCCUUUUGUUUUUCUUAAUAUUAUUUUGGUUGUAGAUGAACAUGAUACCUUCUUAAAUUUUAUUUAUCAAUUUUUAUGUGGUGAUAAGGAUUGAACUCAGUGCCUCACACAUGCUAGGCAAGCACUCUACGACUGAGCCAUAACCCCGGCCUUAAACAUUUUCCUUUUGACCUCUCCUUGAAGAGAUAUGUUGUCCAUUUGAUACCCAUUGUUAUUUGUUGUCUUAGAAGUGGUUAUUACAGAAUCAACAACUAGAAAGUUCUUCAUGAUUCUAGAAUAUAAAGCAAGGGUAAUAAUCUAGACCAUAUCUGUUUGGUUAUCAAUCUAUGGCCUCUCUGCUCCAAGUUCACCCUUCAGUGAACACACUGUAGGUUUUUCAGUAGAGGGCGCUAGAGGGGCAGGAAGAAAGAAAAGAACAACAGAUGGCUCUUACUUACAAUGGGGUUGUGUACCACUUAACCCAUUGUAAGUUGAAAAUAUUAUCAUAAGUUGAAAAUGCAUUUAAUACAUCACAGCUCAGCCUAGCCUACCUUCACACUCAGAACAUUAGCCUACAGUCAGGCAAAAUCAUCUAAUACAACUCCUGUUUUAUAAUACAGUGUUGACUAUGUCAUGUAAUUUAUUGAAUACAAUUUUGAAAGUGAAAAAUAAUGGUUGUAUAGAUAUGCUUUGUACUGUAGGAAAGUCAAAAGACCCUACGUUAAGCCAUUGUGAGCUGCAGAUCAUGUCCUUGAUGUUUGUGGUUAAUACCUGGUGGGUCAGUGGUGAGGGUAUGAGGCCAUCUGGUGGAAUUCUGCCCCAAUCAUGUGCCCAGAAUGUGUGAUAACUCAGCCUGGUAAUAACUUUCUCCCCAGCCCUGAAAGAUUUCUAGCUUGUUUCAGUGCCCCAAAGGCUUAAUGCCAUCACUGGCUCUUUGACUCCUUAGAUCAUUUGCAUCCCAAAGGGUUCCCACCCUUUCUGAAGGUCCCAGCUCCCUGUGCAUUGCCAGGCUGUUGGUUGUGGAUAGAUUGUACCUGCCUGUACUUUAGAGGGUGGCUUGCCCAGGGACUGCAUACCAUGUCUAGCCUGGGCAAACUAGCCACCCUCCCUUCUAUGUGUGCCAAGUUCAGUUUCCCAAGGAGGUCUGAGCCCGUUUAGGGAGGGGUCCC